rnacentral:lncRNA from 1 species
AUAGAACAAGUAUGGUAUGAACAAUGGAAAGAUGGUAGGCCAGUAGGAGCGGGUCCAAUAGAGUGGGAAGUGUUCAAACUAGCAUUUCUUGAUAGGUUCUUUCCCCGAGAGUUGAGGGAAGGUAAGGUGGAAGAGUUCAUUAACCUUAGGAAAGGUAGCAUGAGUGAUGAAGAGUAUGCCUUAAAAUUUACCCAACUAUCCAAGUAUGCUCCAUCUAUGGUGGCAGAUUUGAGAGAUAAGAUGAGUAGGUUCUUGACGGGGGUGUCCGACUUGGUGGCAAAAGAAUGACGUACGGAAAUGCUCUUUCAUGAUAUGGAUAACUCACAUCUUAUGGUUUAUGCCCAACAAAUUGAGGAGUCAAAACUCAAGGAAAAGAAUAAGGAGGCAAAAAGGGCUAGGACCGGUGAUGGGAACUUCUUGAUAUAAUUUCUAUAAAGGAAUCACACUAAAAUGCGGAAAUCAAAGACGGAAAGUAAAGAUAGAUAAAUAGACACAAAUAGAGGAAACAAAAAGCAACCAAAGGGUAUUUAAACCCAAUGACCUCGAUCCGUUAAUCCUACCACAAGCACCUAACUCUUACGAUGACCUCAAGGGAAUCGAUAUCCCAAGCAACCAACGUUUCUAACAAAAGGCAACAAAAGCUUAACCGAGCUCUCAACACUCAAACAUGAGUUUUCAAUUUUAACAUUCAAAAUAAUCUAAGUCUAAAAUGAACCCAAGCUAGCUAUUCAUAGGUUUAAGAUAAAAGGGCCCAAAAGUGACCCGAAAUGCCAAAGGGCAAACUGGGUCGGAUCGCCUAGUGGACUGGGCGAUGCGCCGACCUGGUUGGCGAGCCUUCCUGUAUGGUUGUUCAGCUUAGCCACGUUCUGGAUCAAAGGGAGAGCUGGAGUCAUCGCCUAGUGACUUGGGUGAUCCGCCGAUUGGCUCUGGCUCGCCAAAAUGUCCAGCUGCAACUUUCAAGGCAUAGAAUCCCUUGUUUGCUAUCAAUACCAUCUCAAGCACCUCCAUCUUCAUGAAUAGCCCUUGCAUCCUUUAAAGGUCUUGAGCCUGGCUUCUCGUAAAUGGCCUUGAUGUAAUCCGUAUUGCAUCAUUCUCUCCUUCUUGAAAAGGAUUUGUGCUCAAAUUCGAUAGAUCAUCAGCAACAGUUGGGAAAACUGACAGGUCGCACACAUUGAAAGUGUUGUGCACUUGAUAUUUCGGAGGAAGGGCAACCUUAUAAGUGUUGUCGUUGAGCCGCUCAAGCACUGGGAAUGGUCCAUCACCCCUCGGCAUCAACUUUGUUUUGUGAUGUGUGGUAAAUCGCUCUUUGCGAAAGUGGACCCAGACCAGAUCACCCGACUAAACACGAUCCUAUUACGGCCCUUGUUAGCCUUUUUGGCUACUUUUUGGUUCUUCUUCUCUAAGUGCAGCCGCACCUUUUCAUGAAGCUUCUUCAUAGCUUCAGCUCGCUUACUCCCAUCUAAGCUUAACACAACAUCUUGAGAAAGAGGAGUGAGAUCUAAAGGGGUUAGGGGGUUAAAACCAUAAACAACUUCAAAUGGAGACAUGCCAAUAGUUUUAUGAAUAACACGAUUAUAAGCAAAUUCAACUAAAGGCAAAUGUUCCUCUCACGAGGCCAAUUUCCCAUGCGCUACGGCACAAAGCAUAGAACCCAAAGUCCUAUUCACAACUUUAGUUUGGCCAUCAUUUUGUGGGUGACAAGAAGUUGAGAACAGCAACUUAGUACCGAGUCUACCCCACAAUUCCUUCCAAAUGACCAUUAAACCCCCAUUGUGUGCCAUUCAAUUCAUCAAGCAGAAUCAUCAACCUAGGAAUAGGAUGACGAUACUUUACCAUAAUUUUUUUGAUGGCUCGGCAAUCAACACACAUGCGCCAUGUUCCAUCUUUGUUUGGAACCAAUAGAACCGGCACGGUACAUGGACUCAUGCUCUCCUUCACAUAAUCUUUGUUGAGGAGUUCCUCAAUUUGUCUUUGUAGCUCCUUGGUGUCCUCUGGAUUGCUUCUAUAACCCGGCUUGUUUGGCAAUUGCGAUCCCAGCACAAAAUCAAUUUAGUGCUCAAUUCCCCGAAGAGGGGGCAAUCCACUUGGAAGCUCCUUUGGGAAGACAUCCUCAUAAUCCUGCAAAAGAAAGGAAAUAGAAUUGGGAAGGGAAGAAUGAGAUUGGUUAGUUUGUAGUACAUGAUCCUUAUGUGUGAUAAGGAUCAAAGAACUUUCAGAUUUAAUUUCCUCCCUUAUCUCUUUGUAAUUAGCCAACAACACUUGGGCCUUUCCUUUCAACUUCCUCCUCUCCUCCUCUUCUUGGCUCUCGACCUCCACAUGUUCCUCUUUGCACUUCUUCUUUUCCCUCAACUCAUUCAUUCUUUGAUAUAUAUCAUUGACUUAAGAGGGGUACAUAGGAUGAAGAACAUAUUUAUGAUCAUUCAACACAAGUGAAUACUUAUUGGUUCUCCCAUCAUGUUUGGUUGAACCAUCAUGUUGCCAAGGUCUCCUGAGUAGCACAUGACAAGCUUGCAUUGGGACCACAUCACAUAGAACCUCAUCUUGAUACUUCCCAAUCUUAAACUUGAUCAUCACUUGUCGAUGCACUCUAAUUCUCCACACUCACUCAACCAUUUGAAAGUUUUGUAAAGGUGUAUCAUGCUUAGUGGUAGGAAGUUUUAAGAAUUCCACUAAUGUAGUGCUAGCAACAUUUGCACAACUCUGGCUAUCAAUGAUUAAGGAACACACAUUAUCCUUGAUGAAGCACUUGGAGUGAAAUAAAUUCUCUCUUUGACUCGGAUCAUCCAAGGCCUUACUAACCAUUGCUCGUCUCACCACAUAUAGAGGAGCGACACUCUCUCCUUCUUUGACACAAAGGUCUGGUUCCUCAUCUUCUCCAUCUUCAAACUCAUCCUCUCCAUCUUCAAACUCAUCCUCUUCUUGAGGAUCUUCUUCACAACCUUCUUCUUGCUCCCUUUCUUCACUAAGAUAUAAUUCCCCUCCUUGAAGUAGAGCAAUCAGCCGAUUGGGACACUCAUGCAUUAUAUGACCCCAUCCCCUACAUUUGUGACAUUGAAUACCUUUAGGGAACUUGGUUGGGUUAGUGAUACCUGAUAUACCGUGAGUUUACGGUAUUUCUAAUACNNNNNNNNNNNNNNNNNNNNNNNNNNNNNNNNNNNNNNNNNNNNNNNNNNNNNNNNNNNNNNNNNNNNNNNNNNNNNNNNNNNNNNNNNNNNNNNNNNNNAAUAAAGUCCUAUAGUGAUCCUGGAGUCUAGUUUGAAUAGUCUGAGCAGUGAAAAUAAGGGCAAGCUUAUGGNNNNNNNNNNNNNNNNNNNNNNNNNNNNNNNNNNNNNNNNNNNNNNNNNNNNNNNNNNNNNNNNNNNNNNNNNNNNNNNNNNNNNNNNNNNNNNNNNNNNNNNNNNNNNNNNNNNNNNNNNNNNNNNNNNNNNNNNNNNNNNNNNNNNNNNNNNNNNNNNNNNNNNNNNNNNNNNNNNNNNNNNNNNNNNNNNNNNNNNNNNNNNNNNNNNNNNNNNNNNNNNNNNNNNNNNNNNNNNNNNNNNNNNNNNNNNNNNNNNNNNNNNNNNNNNNNNNNNNNNNNNNNNNNNNNNNNNNNNNNNNNNNNNNNNNNNNNNNNNNNNNNNNNNNNNNNNNNNNNNNNNNNNNNNNNNNNNNNNNNNNNNNNNNNNNNNNNNNNNNNNNNNNNNNNNNNNNNNNNNNNNNNNNNNNNNNNNNNNNNNNNNNNNNNNNNNNNNNNNNNNNNNNNNNNNNNNNNNNNNNNNNNNNNNNNNNNNNNNNNNNNNNNNNNNNNNNNNNNNNNNNNNNNNNNNNNNNNNNNNNNNNNNNNNNNNNNNNNNNNNNNNNNNNNNNNNNNNNNNNNNNNNNNNNNNNNNNNNNNNNNNNNNNNNNNNNNNNNNNNNNNNNNNNNNNNNNNNNNNNNNNNNNNNNNNNNNNNNNNNNNNNNNNNNNNNNNNNNNNNNNNNNNNNNNNNNNNNNNNNNNNNNNNNNNNNNNNNNNNNNNNNNNNNNNNNNNNNNNNNNNNNNNNNNNNNNNNNNNNNNNNNNNNNNNNNNNNNNNNNNNNNNNNNNNNNNNNNNNNNNNNNNNNNNNNNNNNNNNNNNNNNNNNNNNNNNNNNNNNNNNNNNNNNNNNNNNNNNNNNNNNNNNNNNNNNNNNNNNNNNNNNNNNNNNNNNNNNNNNNNNNNNNNNNNNNNNNNNNNNNNNNNNNNNNNNNNNNNNNNNNNNNNNNNNNNNNNNNNNNNNNNNNNNNNNNNNNNNNNNNNNNNNNNNNNNNNNNNNNNNNNNNNNNNNNNNNNNNNNNNNNNNNNNNNNNNNNNNNNNNNNNNNNNNNNNNNNNNNNNNNNNNNNNNNNNNNNNNNNNNNNNNNNNNNNNNNNNNNNNNNNNNNNNNNNNNNNNNNNNNNNNNNNNNNNNNNNNNNNNNNNNNNNNNNNNNNNNNNNNNNNNNNNNNNNNNNNNNNNNNNNNNNNNNNNNNNNNNNNNNNNNNNNNNNNNNNNNNNNNNNNNNNNNNNNNNNNNNNNNNNNNNNNNNNNNNNNNNNNNNNNNNNNNNNNNNNNNNNNNNNNNNNNNNNNNNNNNNNNNNNNNNNNNNNNNNNNNNNNNNNNNNNNNNNNNNNNNNNNNNNNNNNNNNNNNNNNNNNNNNNNNNNNNNNNNNNNNNNNNNNNNNNNNNNNNNNNNNNNNNNNNNNNNNNNNNNNNNNNNNNNNNNNNNNNNNNNNNNNNNNNNNNNNNNNNNNNNNNNNNNNNNNNNNNNNNNNNNNNNNNNNNNNNNNNNNNNNNNNNNNNNNNNNNNNNNNNNNNNNNNNNNNNNNNNNNNNNNNNNNNNNNNNNNNNNNNNNNNNNNNNNNNNNNNNNNNNNNNNNNNNNNNNNNNNNNNNNNNNNNNNNNNNNNNNNNNNNNNNNNNNNNNNNNNNNNNNNNNNNNNNNNNNNNNNNNNNNNNNNNNNNNNNNNNNNNNNNNNNNNNNNNNNNNNNNNNNNNNNNNNNNNNNNNNNNNNNNNNNNNNNNNNNNNNNNNNNNNNNNNNNNNNNNNNNNNNNNNNNNNNNNNNNNNNNNNNNNNNNNNNNNNNNNNNNNNNNNNNNNNNNNNNNNNNNNNNNNNNNNNNNNNNNNNNNNNNNNNNNNNNNNNNNNNNNNNNNNNNNNNNNNNNNNNNNNNNNNNNNNNNNNNNNNNNNNNNNNNNNNNNNNNNNNNNNNNNNNNNNNNNNNNNNNNNNNNNNNNNNNNNNNNNNNNNNNNNNNNNNNNNNNNNNNNNNNNNNNNNNNNNNNNNNNNNNNNNNNNNNNNNNNNNNNNNNNNNNNNNNNNNNNNNNNNNNNNNNNNNNNNNNNNNNNNNNNNNNNNNNNNNNNNNNNNNNNNNNNNNNNNNNNNNNNNNNNNNNNNNNNNNNNNNNNNNNNNNNNNNNNNNNNNNNNNNNNNNNNNNNNNNNNNNNNNNNNNNNNNNNNNNNNNNNNNNNNNNNNNNNNNNNNNNNNNNNNNNNNNNNNNNNNNNNNNNNNNNNNNNNNNNNNNNNNNNNNNNNNNNNNNNNNNNNNNNNNNNNNNNNNNNNNNNNNNNNNNNNNNNNNNNNNNNNNNNNNNNNNNNNNNNNNNNNNNNNNNNNNNNNNNNNNNNNNNNNNNNNNNNNNNNNNNNNNNNNNNNNNNNNNNNNNNNNNNNNNNNNNNNNNNNNNNNNNNNNNNNNNNNNUUUUACACAAGCACAACCCCCCUUUUUAUUACCUGUUUCUGGAAAUAAUUUGACUAAUUGAAUAUAAUUGUUGGUUAAAAGUAAAGUCUGAACCAUUUUCCUCGUGGGAUCGAUCCCAACCUACAAGUUGGGUUCUUUACUUGAUAACGAUCGCUUAUGCUUCUGAAAGGAGGUGUAAUUUGAGCGUAUCACAUGUAAGCAUGAAAUUAAUUAGAAUAAUGUAUAUGUGGUGGAUUAUGACUAGUAAGGCUUGAGAAGUGACCUUUAUGAUAAUUUAUGGCUAGAAUCACUUAAUAAUGAAGCAUGUGAUUAGAAUACCUUGAAAUCUAGGUAUGUAUGAUGAAUGUAAGAGGUAAAUCUUUGAGAUUAAGGCUUGUAGUCAUGAAGGUAGAAUGCUAGAGCUUUGAGAGUAAAGCUAACAUGUUGAAUUAUGGUUGUAAUGGCUUUGAGAGUGAAGCCUAUAUGAGAAUGGUACACUAGUAGAUAUCAUUGUUGAGGAAGGAAUUUACCCACCUCAUCUACCUUAUGAAUGUUUGAAUGCAUAAAGUGAUAGAAUCACUUGAAAUACGGAUUUGUUGUCAAGGACAUCCCUCUAUGAGUCAUGAGCUAAGUAAGGCUUAAUAACUAGUCUAAGGGGUGUAUGCUUGGACCUAAUGGAUUUUGACAAUGACAAGGAAGUUCACACAUAGUCGGGUCUGGGUCUCCAAGAAGAGAGGAUGCUCAUACCUAUUUGAGUCUAGGCUUCCAAAUUAAAGGGGGGACUCUCAUAUAGUAGAGUCCGGGUUUUCCCAAAAGUAGGUCUCAUGGGAUGGAAACCUUCACAUAGAUAAGUCUAGGUUUCUAGUAUAAAUCUACUUAUCCAAUGAACUAAGACAUACUUGAAAAGUAUCUCCAAGUGUUCAAAACAUAAUGAACUAAGACAUGCUUGAGAAAGUAUCUCUUAGUGUUCAAGUUAAUAAUGAAUUUAGACAUGCUUAAUGAAGUAUCUCAUAGUGUUCAAGAUAAUAAAGAAGAGGAACUAAGAUGGACUUACAGAAGUACAUCCUAGUGUUCCAAUGCUUUCAAAGAGGGCCUAUUCCCUAACCAAGAACUAUCAGUAUGACAAUCUAAAGUGGUACUUAGUAUGGAUAUGAUUAUGGGGUCUUAUUCAUGCAUUGCACAAGUAUGACUUAAGGUUACCUAGAAUGUGGUUCUCUUAUAUGAUGUAUGUUCAGAUAGGAUUGUUCUAUAGUUGCAUUCCUUGUUAUGAUUGACUAAAGAAGUGAGAUUCCCUUGUCUAUGAGAAGUAAUCUAAGGAUAAGAUCAAAUAUGGUAAGUAUGUAUGAUGGCCUAAGUUGGUACUUAGUGUGGGUGAUAUUAUGGAGUCUUAUCCAUGCAUUGCACAAGUAUGACUUGAAGCUACUUGAGAAGUAGUUCUCUUAUGAUAUGAAAGACUAAGGGUUGACUAAUGCUUAUAUGAUGCCUAUGUUGGAGAUUAUGCUUAUGACUAUGUUAUUGUCUCUUAUACUUAUAGUUUAUGUUUCAUUUAGUAUCUCUUAUGAUUAUGGCAUAUGGUUUAUGUUGACUAACCCUUAUGUUAUGCUCUUAUGAUGUUAUGCUAGCUGUCAUAUUUAGUACUGUUGUACUAACGCAUACACUUGCCUACAUUCUCAUCAAAUGUAGGUUCCGGCGAUUUUGAGUUCCAUUCUUGAGGAUAGGUUUCUAGAAGAGCAAGGAGUUGAAAAUUGGUGAGUCCUCAUAGCAUCGAGGAUAAAGCCACCAUUUCCUUUAUGUCUUUCUUUUAUGUUUUGAGGCUAUUGUAUGGGAUGUGUCCCAAGAGUUAUUCAAAGUUGUUUUAGAUGGUUUGAGACAAGUGUAGUAAGACUUCCACUUUGCUUUUAUAAAUACUUUGAUUGUAUGGAAAAUGUUUUAAAAUUUCCACACUUUUCUAUUAUAUUAUGUUAUGAUAUGCUAAGGCCUUGUAUGAGACCCCUUUAGGGUCAAGUACGCCAUGUUACAUCUAAGGUUUACCCCUAGGUCAUGACCCUUAACUUUGUCAUUUUCUAAUCGAAUAUUGAUGAUUUGCAGCUAUGAAGGCAAGGACUGAUGUUUGAAAGAAUGGCCAAAAAUACAAAAAAAAAAAUUGCAAAGAGAACAUUGUUGAUCGCCUAACAUGAAGGGAAGAUCGCCAAUUGAGCACGACCUUUCCCAAAUUAAAAGUGCAUAGUACUUGUGUCUAUCAAAGAAGGUCAUCGAAAUCUAGUAUAAAAGACGAUGCACCGAGUGAGAAUGGUGGUCCUGAUGCAUAUCGCUCAAAGUGACACUGUACGAGGCAAAUAUUUAAUGCUCGAAUGGCGAACCAAGGUGGUAUUCGAUUAUUCUCCGAACGUGAAAUGCUACUCAUUCGAGUACGCCAACUGAGGCUCAAACACCCAAAGCUUAGAGCAUCACAAGACAAGCUGAGGAGCGUAGGACGAGUCACCCAUUAGGUUUGGCGAUCCCGACUAACGUCGCCGAGUUGGUUACAAAGUGAAUUUUGGGCCAAAUUUUGAGAAAGUAUAAAUAGACCAGGAAAUAAUUAUGAAAGGGCGGAAAAGUGUGAGAGAACAUAAAGAAGAGUUCAUAGUUAUUAAGUUUUGAGUUGAGAGUGUUUUACCUUUAAAGAACACUUUUCUAGUUUUUGGGGUUUCACAAUUUGAAACUUGAAUUUGAUAAAUUGAAGUUAAAUCCAAAGUGAGUUUACUCUUAAUUGCUUGAUUUCAAGCUACCCAUGGCUAUUUUCAUGGAAAGUAUACUUUCUUUACGUGGGUGGCUAAAACCCCAAGAUCUAGGGGUGCUUAAUUGGGGUUGGAUGUUGAUUUAAUGUAGUGGGUAUUGUGCCAUGCUUUGUUUUAUUGUUGUUCAUGCAUGAAUUUGGUCUAAUUAUCAUAGGUUAACUUAUUGGUUAAGGUUUCAAACUUAAUUCCUACUUCUGAUCUCUGGUUGAUGCUCGAAAGAGAUUAAUUGAAGUGGGUAAUUAGUUCAAUACUAGCAAUUUAGGUUUGAUGUCUAUGGCUUUCUUGAAAGAGAGGUUAUGGGUCGGAUCUAUUUGCCAUGUUCUUGAAAGAGAGAGUAGAUUAAGGUAUUGGAUUAUUUAUAAAUGGCAUAUAAAUGAGACCGAAAGGAGAUUCUAUGCAUAGAUACUUUCAGAUAGAAAGAUAAUUAGCUUCAAUGAAGAUGUCUUGGCCUAUUUAUGAAUGUUCAUCACUAUAGAACAGCACAAUCAUCCCUAUGUGACGUCGAUUUCCAAUCCCCGCACCUCUAGAUUUCUUGUUAACUCAUGAUUUUAUUUCAUAUUUAGUUUAAUUGCGAUAAUUGAUAACCAAAGCUUUGUAUUAAAUUGGCGGUACCAUUCACCCAAUUGUCUUACUAUUACAAAUGAGCUAAUUUAAAGUCCAAAUUUCUUGAUAAAGAAUUUUCUACAAUAUAUCAUUCCAUGUGGGAUCGACCCCGACUCUUCGUUGGUUUUUUUACUAACUACGACCGCUCACUCUUUUAAUUAGUUUUGGAGGAUUAUUUGAGAAUUAAUAAUAUCCCACAAAAUGAUUAUAUUUUAUUCAAAGCUUUUCUUAUGUCUUUUAUGUUAAUGUAUUUGACAAUGUUUUACGAUCAUCAUGUCAUUUCUUCGCUAAAAGUUCUUAAAUGUUUCAGUAUGAUCAUGCCUACUCAUUUUAAGUCAUUCAUGCUAUCAUGCUUAUGUUAUGCAUAUUGCCUCAUACUUAGUACAUUCCAUGUACUAAUGCAUACUUGUGCCUACAUUGUUUCACCAAUGUAGUGUCCAACGCUCCUACCUCCCAUACUCGUGGCUAGUUGAUCCUUCAUAUACUUUGAAGACUGGUGAGUCCUCAUGUUCACGAGGACUGAGACUUUUUUAUUGCUUUCUUGUAUUUCAGUUCAGACUUUGUAUGUGAUGUAUGAGUUACGUCUCAAUCACUUUUCUUAUGAUGUAUUAGAUAGGUUUGAGACUUAUGUUCAAACUUCCACUUUUGUCGAACUCUUUUGUAUGAAAUGAUAUCUUUUAAAGUCUUUAAUUCUAUUAUCUUAUAUGAUGUCUUCUAAGUGGCUUGUGUAGGACCUCGUGGUGUUCUACACGUCAGACCUAGGGUAUACUUUAGAUCGUGACAAACUUGGUAUUCAGAGCAUAUGGUUUAGAAAGUUCCUAGGAUGUCUCAUAAGCCACGUCGAGUAGAGUCUUGUUCAUAAGUGUGAAGCGCACCACAUUUAUGAAUAAGAGGCUAUAAGAUAUUUAGGAAACUCCACUUUUGUCAUCAUUCUAAAGUCGUGCCAUUGAGUUUAACUCUAUAUAUCUCUCUCUUAAUCCCUAUCCCAUGUUUUUCAUGAUAUGGUCCCUCAAAGAGCAUACGUUAGAAGGAAUGCGGGUGAGAAUAUGAGAUGGGAAUCUCCUCAAGAAUCUCCACAAGUUCCAGUUGAUCCUUUGCCCCAACAAGUUACUAAUACGAAGGUUAGGGCUGCUUUUCAGGUGUUUUCUCAAGCCAUGACGACCCAAGCCAAUAGGGAGGAUGUGGUCCCCGUGAACCCAAAUGUGGGUACGGCGGCAAUGAGAGUGAGGGACUUCACUAGGAUUAAUCACUUGGAGAUUUAUGGUUCCAAGGUUGAGAAAUAUCCUCAAGAGUUCAUUGAUGAAGUAUACAAGGUUUUGAUGAUCAUGGGAGUGAAGCCGGUGGAAAAGGCAGAAUCGGCUGCAUAUAAACUCAAGGGUGUUUCUCAAUUGUGGUUCAACCAAUGGAAGAAAGAGAGGGUAGUUGAUGUGGGUCCUUUCGAUUGAGAAAAGUUUAAGAAUGCUUUCCUUGAUAGGUUAUUUCCCCGUGAGAUAAGGGAGAUCAAGGUAGUUGAAUCCAUUAAUUUUCAUCAAGAGAAUAUGAGUUGAAAGAGUAUGCCUUGAAGUUCAUGCAAUUGUCUAGAUAUGCUCCUACUAUGGUUGUCGAUCCUAGGGAAAGGAUGAGUAAGUUUGUUUCAGGUGUUUCGAAAUGGUGGUUAAGAAAUGUCGUACCACCAUGCUUAUUAAGGAAAUGGAUAUUUCUCCCCUAAUGAUUAAUUCUCAACAAAUUUAAGAGGAGAGACUUAAGGAAAGGUCUAGGGAGGCAAAGAGGAAAAAGAUUGUUGAUAGUGACUUUUCACAUUCAAGGUUCAAUAGAUAUGGUCGUUCUAAGUUCCGACAGAGAUUUUCUGGUCAAGGUCCCUCCAAUGCUCCAGCUCCUAAGUUCAACAAAGAAAGGGUGUCUAACCUUAAGCCUCAAGGAGGAAAUAGUGGUGUAAAUGGUUCUUCGGUUCCCGCAUGUCAAAAGUAUGGCAAGAGUCAUCUGGGAAAAUGCUUGAUAAGCACGGAUAAUUGCUUUGGUUGUGGAAAGAGUAGUCACCACUUGAGGGAUUGUCCAUCUAGACUUUAUAAGGGAAAAUAUGGUAGGAAAGCUCUUCCUACUAGUUCGGGUUCAAGUGCUCCAAAGUAAAACCGGUCUUAUGCACUUCAAACUCUUCAUGAGCAAGAGGGUUCCCUGAUGUGGUUAUCGGUAUGUUGAAAUCCUAUCACCUUUAUGUUUAUGCUUUGCUUGAACCCGGUGCUACCUUGCCUUUUGUGAUGCUAUGUGUGGCUAUGAAGUUUGAUAUUCUUCCGGAUGUGUUGAUAGACUUUUUUAUAUCUCUACACCUAUUGGUGAAACUAUUGUGCCUAAGAGUGUAUAGAAGUUGUCUCAUCUCCGUAUCCCAUAGAGUUACUCAUGUUGAUCUUGUAGAGCUUUAUCUGUUUGAUUUUGAUGUUAUUAUUGGUGUAGAUUGGCUCCAUUCUUGUUAUGUUUCUGUUGAUUGUAGAAUCCGAGUAGUCACGUUUCAAUUUCUUAAUGAGCCCGUCCUAGAGUGGAAAGGGGGAAAUUAUAUGUCUAAGGGUCACUUUGUUUAUUGUUUUAAAGCUAAAAAGAUGAUUUUUAAGGAUUGCAUGUACCAUCUUGUUCGGGUUAGGAAUAUGGAUUCUGAAACCCCUAUCUUUGAGUCGCUCCCCAUUAUUAAUGAGUUUUUGAAAGUGUUUCCCGAUGAUCUACUCGGUGUUCUUCCCGAAAGAGAAAUAGACUUCAAAAUUAACCUUAAAUAUGCAAUAUAUCUCUAUUCCUCCUUACUAAAUGGCUCCGGCAGAAUUAUGGAGUUAAAAGAGCAAUUGAAAGUUUUGUUUGAUAAGGGUUUCAUCCGACCGAGUAUCUCUUCAUAGGGUGCUCCAGUUUUGUUUAUUCAAAAGAAAAAUGGCUCACUUCGCAUGUGUAUUGACUAUCGGUAAUUGAACAAGGUUACCAUUAAUAAUAAAUAUCCUCUUCUAAGGAUAGAUGAUUUGUUUGAUCAACUACAAGGAGCAAUCUACCUCUCUAAGAUCGACCUUAGGUCAGGUUAUCACCAAUUGAGGGUAAAGGAAGAUGACAUUCCAAAGAUAGCUUUUUGAACUCGGUAUGAUCAUUAUGAUUUUUUGGUAAUGUCGUUUGGUUUGACUAAUUCUCCAGCCGCAUUUAUGGACUUGAUGAAUCGGGUGUUUAGACAACACCUUAACAUGUUUGUGAUUGUGUUUAUCGACGACAUCUUGAUUUACUCAACAAGUGAGGAUGAGCAUACUGAUCAUUUGAGGAUUGUGUUGCAAGUCCUCAAGGACCAACAACUCUUCGACAAGUUUAGAAAAUGCGAGUUUUGUUUGAGGUCCGUGGCUUUUCUUGGUCACAUUGUUUCUGGUAAGGGAAUUAAGGUAUAUCCUAAGAAGACAGAUGUGGUUAAGAGUUGUCCUAGACCUCUAUCCCCUUUGGAUAUUCAAAGUUUCUUGGGUUUGGCCGGUUAUUAUAUAAGGUUUGUGGAAGGUUUUUCUUCAAUUACCUCCCCAUUGUCAACAUUGACCAAAAAUAAAGUUAAGUUUGUAUGGUCUGAAGCGUGUGAGAAGAGCUUUCAAGAAUUAAAAGAUAGACUUACCUCCGCUCUGGUGUUGACUUUACCGGAAGGAUCCGAUGGGUUUGUGGUUUAUUGUGAUGCUUCAAGGGUUGGACUAUGGUGUAUGAAAAAUGGGAAAGUUAUUAUUUAUGCUUCAUGACAACUUAAGAUGCAUGAAAAAAAACUAUCUUAUCAAUGAUUUGGAACUAGCGGCCGUUGUUUUAGCCUUAAAGAUUUGGAGGCAUUACCUAUAUGGUGUUUAUGUUGACGUCUUUACCAACCACAAAAGUUUGCAAUAUGUGUUCAAGUAAAAGGAUCUAAAUCUUCGCCAAAGGAGGUGACUUGUGUUACUAAAGGAUUAUGACAUGAGUGUCAUCUAUCAUCCCUACAAGGAGAAUGUGGUGGCGAAUGCUCUUAGUUGGUUAUCAAUGGGUAGUGUUGCUCAUAUUGAGGAUGAUAAAAAGGAUUUGGUUCGACAUGUUCAUCGAUUGACCCUAUUGGGUGUUUGGUUAGUUGACUCCACCAAAGAUGGUGUUAUGAUUCGGAAUCUUCUUUUGUGUCAGAUGUGAAAACCAAGCAAGGUCUUGAUCCGAUUUUUGUUGAAUUUAAGGAAGCGGUGCUUAAGAAAUCUGUUGAAGCUUUCUCCCAAAGGGGAGAUGGUGUGCUUCGAUAUCGAGGUCGUUUGUGUUUUCCCAAUGUUGAUGAUUUAGGGGAGAAGAUUUUAUCGAAAGCCCAUAGUUAUUGAUAUUCCAUUCACCUGGGAGAUACCAAGAUGUACCGUGACUUAUAGGAGGUCUAUUGGUGGAAUGGGAUGAAGAAGGAUAUUGUGGAACUUGUUGCUAAGUGUCCUAAUUGUCAAAAAGUGAAAGUUGAGCAUCAAAAGUCGGGAGGCUUGUCCUAAGAUAUUAGCAUUCCUACUUGAAAGUGGGAAGAUUUGAAUAUGGACUUUAUUAUUGGUUUACCCCACACCCGGUGGCAACAUGACUCAAUUUGGGUUAUUGUGGAUCGUAUGACGAAGUCAACCCAUUUCAUUCCCAUCGAGGUUUCUUAUUAGGCAGAGGACUAUGCUAAUAUGUACUUGAGGUAAAUGGUUAAGUUGCAUGGAGUGCCCCUAUCCAUUAUCUCUGAUCGUGGUACCCAAUUUACUUCUAAAUUUUGGAAAUAUUUCCAAAAGGGUCUUGGUACACGUGUUAAGCUUAGUACAGUCUUUCAUCCUCAAACUGAUGGGCAAGUAGAGAGUACUAUCCAAACUUUAAAAGAUAUGUUGAGAGCUUGUGAUAAACUUCUAGGGUAAUUGAGAUGAUCAUUUACCUUAGAUUGAGUUUGCUUAUAAUAGCUAUCAUUUAAGCAUUAGUAUGGCUCCAUUUAAGGCUCUUUAUGGUAGGAGGUGUAGAUAUCCUAUAGGUUGGUUUGAAGUUGGUGAGGUUGCCUUGAUAGGUCCCGAGUUGGUACAUAAGGCUAUGGAGAAAGUUUAGAUUCUUAAAGAAAGGUUGAAAACAGCUCAAAGUCGACAAAAUUCCUACACUGAUGUUAGAAGAAGAGAUUUAGAAUUUGAUGUUGAUGAUUGGGUCUACUUAAAUAUUUCACCCAUGAAGGGUGUGAUGGGGUAUGAAAAGAAAGGAAAACUUAGUCCAUGUUAUGUGGGCCCAUAUCAAAUUUUGAGGUGUAUUGGUAAGUUGCUUACGAACUUGAUUUUCCUAAUGACUUGGCAUUGGUACAUUCGGUUUUCCACGUCUCUUUGUUGAAGAAAUGUGUUGGUGAUCCGACAUCCAUUGUCAUUGGAGAGUCUUGGCAUAAAGGAGAGUCUUUCUUAUGAAGAAGUUUCGAUAAAGAUUUUGGACCAGCAAGUUAUAAAGUUAAGAAAUAAAGAGGUUUCAUCAGUGAAAGUCUUAUGGAGGAAUCAACGAGUUGAGGGAGGUACUUUGGAGGCCGAGGCCGGUAUGAUGUCCCGUUAUCCCCAUCUCUUUUCCUCUGAUCCUAUUAUAGCUAGAGGUAUUUAAUUUCUCAUGGUCCAUCCUCAUGUCUUAGUCAUUCUCAUGUUUCUUCCUGCAUGCAUGCUUAUGAAAACUUGCUUUUGAAAUCUUGAUGUAGCUUUGAUUGACUUCCUCAUGAUUAUGUGCAUUUGAGUUUGACUUGAAUGGAUACCUUACGAAAUGAUGUUUUAGGUAUGUUUAAUCUUGGAGUUGAUGUUCCUUGAUCAUGUGUUAUUGAUGAAGUUGUAUUCUUGUUGGGCUCUUAGAUCUCUUCCCCUACUCUCCUUAUGUUUCUUUGAUUCCCAUUCGAGGAUUAAUGUUCUCAAGUGGAGUACAUUGUAAUACCUCAAACCAUGGAAAAAGGAUGAAAAUAAAUUUUUAAACUAAAGUUUGGUUUAUGGGUCCCAUCAACAGACCAUAGAUGGUAACUGUAGGAAGUGGGAGACAUAAAUUUGUAAAAUCAAGUCGUAGUACCCCUUUUUACGGUUCACCUGGAUGACCCGUCAACCAUUGUACUAGUUGUAUGUUGGUCUCGUAGAUAAGUCCCAGACUUGGUGAAAUUUUAAGGGGUAAUGUUGCUUUCUACGGUUGAUAUGUACAGACCGUAGGAAGACCUAUGAGCCGUACAUGGGAUUCCAUCAAAAUUUGGUCCAAAUAAUGGUUUCAGAACUUAUCUACAGUUGACCAAUAUGGACCUUAGGUCCAAACCGUAGGUGAGGCUAUACAUUUAUUUUUAUAUGGAUUUUGGGUAUUUUCCUAAUUAUUUUAACCCAAUAUUACGUCCUUUUUACCUCCUACCCUGAGCUCUAUAUAAACAUUUUAAGCCCCCAAUUUACCCAUUUCAUUUCAUUCUCCUAAAUUUCCAAAACUUGACCAAACUCAUCGUCUCAAAUUCUUUCAAGUCUAAGAAAGAAGAAGAAGACCUAGGGUUCCACUCAAUUCUCGAAAUUCUCCUUUUUUCUUGGGCUUAAAGGAUCAAGGUAUGUGUGUAUUCACCCAUGGAGUCCUUUCCUCCAUGGAGUCCCUAAGGAUUUCAACUUCUCCAUUCAAUUUCCAAUUGAUCAAAUUUGGGGUUUCAAUUCAAUAAAUGUGGAUUUCAUCAAUUAUGAUUGAUUAAGUCUUCUAAUGCAUUAUUUGAUGUUAAUAUAAGAUAUUUAGUUGAAAUUGCAUUUACCCAUGCCUAAUUUAUCAUUUUCAACCAUCAUCCUAUGAUGAACCCAUGAACUAUGAAUUAUAAGUUUCUGAAAAUAUUCAUGUUUUCAUGAAGUUAUUGUAAAUGAAUUGAUGAUGCUUUGAAAGGCAAGUAUUGAUGCUAUAGUGAAAAGAUUUCUCACUUACUAUGAUGAUCAUGAUUGAGAAAGGUAUAUCUCACAAGUGAAUUCACAUUGGUGAAAGAUUUUCUCAUUCAUGUUGAAGUAUGUUUAAGGAGCUACUCUAUGUUUUGAUCUUGAAAUAUGUGGAUUGGUAUUGAUCAUUGCUUUUCCCUAUGUUAAAUUGAUAUUUGACUUUUAUCUAUUCUGUUUGGAUUUAGACUUUGCACCGAGAGGGCUUUGAGGUGGAGGCUCAAAUAGGAUAGUCUCUAGUAGCAACCUCUAGUCCCAAACUACGUGCCUCCGUAGGAUUAUCUUAAAUGACCUAACUAGUGUAUCCACUUUAGCAGAUGAUGAUAUGUACGGAUUCUACCUUGGCAAGUAGUUUCCCCUUCUUUCGGUAUGAGGGAUAUACUGGAUUACAUGAUAUAGCUCUCAUGGUCUUACUAUCGGUUAAGCUAAUAUCCCACAAAAUGAUUGUGUUUUCUUGAAAGUUUUUCUUAUGUCAUUUAUGCCAAUGUAUUUAACUAUGUUUUACGAUCUUCCUGUCAUUUAUUCUCUAAAAGAUUUUAAAUGUUUCAUUAUGAUCAUGCUUACUCUGUCACGCCCCAAUCCUACACUCUGGAUGUGACACGGCGUACAAGACUCUGAAAAGUCUCAUGCAAACCUCAUAGCACAUCAUCACAUAAGAACAUAGGAAAUAGUGCGGAAUUUAAAAAAUUUUCUUUUAAGACCAUACAAUCGAAGUCAUUUUUCAUAAAAGCAAGCGGAAGUCUUUCUAUACUUUGUCUCAAACCAUCUAGAACCAUAAGACUUAAAACUUUGGGACGCAGCCCAUACAAAAGCUCUAAACAUAAUAAUAAAAGACAUUAAGGGAAAUAGUGGGUUUGUCCUCGAAGCUAUGAGGACUCACCAAAUCUUCAACUCCUUGCUCCUUAGAAACCUAUCUUCCAAGAAUAGAACUCAAGUCCAAACCCUACACUUUGUAGAAAAAUAGAAGAAAUAUGGGUUAGCACAAUUAAUGUACUAAGUAUGAUAGCCAUGAAAAAACCAUGCUUAAAAGGGACAUUUUGGUUGAAAACCAUGCAUAUGUCAAUUUUGAGAAAACAUCAUGAACUUUAGUAAAAAGGCAUAAGAUACAAACAUAAUCAACAUAUAGGCCAUUACAACACAUUAGUGCCUUCACCUUAAGUAACCCUAAGUUGUAAGAAUAGCAUCCCAUACUACUAUUCCUACUAAGUACCACUUUGAGGCCACCAUAGAUGAACUUACCAUCCUUCAAACUCAUCUUUAGACAAUACUCAUGCAUAAGGAACAUAAACAUUUCAUAAUUCAUGACAAGGAAAGUAACUCAUAAUAACAUUUCCAAGUUAAACAUCCAUCAUUUCAUUAAGCCUUUAAGUCAACAUUCUCAUUUAGCUUCAUUAGGAGCACAUUCAUUUCAUUUAGACAUUAGGAAAUUAAAGAAACAUACCAUAUCCCUCUCAAAGCCUACUCGUGCAAUGCAUGGAUGGCAUCCAUACUACCACCCAUACUUCAUAGAACCUCUUGAGUAACCAUAGUACCUAACUCAUAUCCUUGAUCAUAAGACUUUAUACAUAAAGGAAAACACCAUGACUACUCUUAAAGCCUACUUGUGCAAUGCAUGGUUGAAGUCCCAUACCCCACCCACAAUAAGUAGUGCCUUCUUGAGAAGCCAUAGUUCAUUAACAUUCAUUGUGGGGGUAAGCCUUAACCGACAUAGACCAUGUGAGCAAAUAAUGGAAUCUCGGUGUUACCCACACUGGAUAAGGGAUUCCUACUUGCCUAAGGUAGGACCAUUACUUUUAGCUUAGGUGGAUCCACUAGCUAUAAACUAUGUGGGCACAUAGUUAUGGGAUAGGGAUAUUACUACUAGAUACCCCGCCUCAACUCACGUGAGGGCAUUCAUCUCAAGAGAUUGCUACUAGAAACCCCGCCUCAACUCACGUGAGAGCUUCUAUCUCAUAUCACUAUCCACUCGGUGCUUAGCAUUAUUUCCCACGGAGUACUUAACAUUCAUUACUUUAGUUCAUUGUUAUGAAAUAAGAGAUUGUUACUAGAUACCCUGCCUCAACUCACGUGAGGGCAUCCAUCUCAAACCCAACAUUCAUUCAUUAGAUAGCUCAUAGAUUCAAAGGUGAGAAUAGCCUUUCAACUAACAAUCCCCAUAUUGUGAGAGAAACAUUUAACAGCAUGUCAUUAUCAUUCAUUAGAGUACAAUUGAGAAUAGUCUUUCAAUCAAUACAUCAUCAUUACUUGAUCAUAGAAACUUCAUUCAUUCUUCAUUCAUGAGUGUGUGGGUGUGUAUAGUGAAAAUAACCUUUCAACAACAACACCAUUGCAUAAUAGCCAUAAUCACAUUACUUUUAUUGAAAUCAAAACACAUAAACAUAAGCAUCAUAAUCAUACAGCAACCUUCAUAAAUUGCCCUUCAAGGCCAUGGAUCACAAUUCACCAACACACCUAGAAUACUACAAUUUAGGAAUGAAUAAUGACAUAAUUCAAUAAACUAAAUCAAUAUAGACUUAAUCUCUUCACAUGCUUCCACAAUCAAUCAAUCCCAAACCAUAAAUUUACAAUUUAGUAUUUUGGGGGAAUCAUGGGUUCAUAGGGGAAUUUCAAUCAUAAAUCAACAUUAAUUACACAAUUCACUCAUAAUUCACCAUAAAAAAAUCAUUGAAAAUGAUUUAUAUUUUGUGGUUUAGGGAAUAAUGAAUUGUAGAGAGAAUUAUUUGAGGAGAAUUAUUUUGAGGAGAGGUAGUUUAUAUUUUGUGUUUUAGGGAAUAAUGAAUUGUAAAAGAUGUUUUAAUACUUUAAAAAGCCUUAAAUAACUCUAAUAAAACAAUAUUAACCGACCCCUAACUAAACUAACCACCCUAGGAAUUUACCAAGUUGCCCCUCAAGUUGGCCGAGUUUGGGCAGAUUUCAGUGGUGACCUACGCCCCAUGACCUACGGACCGUAGUUGGGCUCACACCCGUUCUGCAGGUGUGGUUUGGGUCAGCAGCUCACCAUAUGGGGCCCUUGACCUAUGGACCACUUCCACGAGGUGUGGAUGAACCUACUGGGCGUAGGUCCCAUCUGUAGGUCCUUGAAUUCUUACAGUUUUUUGGUCAAUUGGGCAGCCUUGGGGUUAGGCUUUAGGGUCCUCCUCAAGGCUCCUUGGUUGGUCCUUGGAGAGUCGUACCUUGACGUGUAACCCCUUAACCUAAGCUCGGGAACUUAUUUUACAACAUGAAACCCCAUAUCAAACUCAACAAUACACUCGUUAGGCUCUAGUUUCACCUACUAGUUUUCGGAGUUGUAACAUACUCAUUUUGAGUCAUUCAUGCUAUCAUGCCUAUGUUUAUGCAUAUUGUCUUAUAUUAAGUAUAUUCUAUGUACUAAUGCAUACUUGUUCCCACGUUGUUUCACUAAUGUAGGUUCCGACACUCCUACCUUCAAUACUCGUGGCUAGUUGAUCCUUCAUAGACUUUGAAGAUUGGUGAGUCUGUAUGUUCUGAGGACCGAGACUCUUUUAUUGUUUUCUUGUAUUUCAGUUCAGAUUUUGUAUGUGAUGUAUGGGUUACAUCCCAAUCACUUUUCUUAUGAUGUAUUAAAUGACUUUGAGACUUAUGUUUGGACUUCCACUUUUUUUGAACUCUUUUGUAUGAAAUGCUAUCUUUUAAAGUCUUUAAUUCUAUCAUCUUAUAUGAUGUAUGCUAAGUGGCUUGUGAAUGGCCUCUCGGAGUUCUAUACGCCAUAUUACUUCUAGAGAAUACUUUGGGUCGUGAGAAGGAAGCUUCAAAAAAUAAAUACAAAACGGAAGACUCUGGAAUGAAGAAAUUCAUUGUGGCAAAGUAUUUGUACUACAAGAUGAUAGAUAGUAAAGUUGCCAUUACUCAGGUUCAGGAGUUGCAGAUCAAAUUUAUGAUCUCCUUUUUAGAGAUGUAACUUUAUGUAUACAUGUAUUGAACAUAUUAAGUUUGUUGUUAACAUUUACAUAAUCUUUGAUGUAUGAUAGAUUGUGAAUGAUGAAUUUCAAGCGGCUACUAUAAUUGAUAUGGAAGGACUUCAAAAACUACUUGAAGUCUAAGCGCAAAGAGAUAACCAUCAAAUAUCUCAGUAAGACUGACAAUCGAAUGGGAUAACAAAGCUACACAAAAAGAUAUCAUGUAAAAAUUUAACAUCUAUAUGAGUUAAUAUUGUUGAAGUGGUUCCCUCAAAAGGAAAGAAAAGAAAGAAGUCCACUGGACAUAAGGAGUAAGCCAAGAAAAAACUUCAAUAGCAACUUCUAUAAUUAUUACGAAUUUGACCACAAUUCUCCCAAUUGUCGUGCCCCGAAGAAGGACAGAAUAAAUAAAAGAAUGAGGCAAAUAUGAUAGAAAAGAAAGAGGAUGUGCAUAACUUUGUGCUAUGAUAUCGAAGUGAAUUUGAUUGGAAAUUUAAAGGAGCGAUUUCUUGAUUUUGACGUCACUCGACAUGUCUUCUCUGUAAAAGAAGCAUCUGCAAGCUAUACUCUUAUUGAAUUCAAUGGGGGACCUUUUCAUGGGAAAUAUUGCAAUAGUCAAGAUUGAAGGGUGUGAAAAUAUUCUUUUGAAGAUGAAUUUUGACAAGGUAUUGACUCUCAACAAAUUUCUACAAGUUUCUACAAUUAAGAAGAAUUUAGUUUAAGUGGAACUAGUCAUUAAAAAUGGUUCAAGUGUGUGCUUGUUAGUGAGCAAACUGUAAUAAUUAAGAACGAAAUUUUCUUAGAAAAAGACCACCUUACUGAGGGUCUUUUCAAGUCAAAAAUAAUGAUUGUUGACAGGUUUGAUAAGAAUUCAACCUCUAUUUACUUAUUGGAGUCAAAUAUUUUAUGACAUGUUCGUUUAGGAUAUGUCAACUAUAAAAUCUUGCGAAUUGAUUAACUUAAAAGUAUUUCCUAUGUUCGAGUGUAAUAAAUAGAAAUGUCAAAUUUGUGUUGAAUCUAAGUUUGCUAAACAUCCAUAUAAGUUUAUUGACACGAAUUGAAAAAAAACUUAGACUUAAUUCACACAUAUGUAUGUGAUAUUAAGUCAAUAUCAUCUCGCGGUAAAAAAAAAAUUAUAACUUUUAUUGAGAUUGCACUCGAUAUUUUUAUGUGUAUUUCUUAAUAGUAAGGAUGAAACAGUUGACACAUUUAAGCAAUACAAGAACAAAGGGGAGAAUCAAUUGAAUAAAAAGAUAAAAAUGAUUAUAAGUGAUCAGAGUGGGAAUACAAAUCUUUUUUUGCAGAGAUAUAUUUAGAAUAUGAAAUUAUUCAUCGAACUAAUGUCCCCUACACACCACAAUCAAAUGAAAUUGUAGAAAAGAAAAAUCGAACAUUAAAGGAGAUGAUGAAUGUUUUAUUAAUAAUUUAUAACUUACCGCAAAGUUUACGGGGGAAAGCUAUACUUAUGUCUAACCGAAUACUCAAUAGGGUACCCCACAGCAAAACUCAAUCUAUCCAUAUGAACUAUGGAAAGGAAAAACUCCAACUUAAAAUAUUUCAAAGUGCAAGGGACUUUAGCAAAAGUACAAAUUUCUUUAUCCAAAAAAUUAAAUAUUGAAUUAAAAAAUAUGGAUUGUGUAUUCCUUAGAUAUGUAACAAAUAGCAGUGCCUGUCGAUUUUUAGUUCACAGAUCUAAAAAUUUCAAAAUUUAUGUUAAUACAAUAAUUGAGUCAAAUAAUGUUGAAUAUUGUGAACACAUCUAUCCGUAUAAAAUUAAAUGUGAGUCAUCAAGUGAAAGAUAUAAAUGAUCGUGAAAAUAAUCAAAAUAAAGUACACCAAGUAAGGAGGAUCUAAAGCAAAGAAAACGUCAAAGAACAUCUACUUCUUUUUUACCAAAUUUCAUAACAUUCCUACUUGAAAAUGAGCCUCAAAUAUUUAAAAGCAACGAUAUGUUCAUUUGAGUUAUCAUUUUGAUAGAAAAAGUUAAUAGUGAGGUAAAAAUCGAUUUUGAAUAAUCUCAUACAUGAGAACUGAUUGAUCUUCCUCUUGAAAAUAAACUUUUAGGAUCAAAAUAAAUUUUUAGAAGAAAAAUUAAAGUUGUUGGAACUAUUGACAAAUAUAAGGCUAGACAUAUGGUCUAAGGUAAGAGACAAAAAGAAAGUCUCGAUUACUUUGACACAUACUAGCCAGUAAUAAGGAUAAUAUCUAUUAGGGUGUUAGUGGAACUAGCAAUUGUGCAUGAUCUUGAAAUCCAUCAAAUGAAUGUUAGGAAAACCUUCUUAAAUGAAGAAGUAGAUGAAGAAAUUUACAUGGAAAAAUCUAAGAGAUAUUUUAUUCCAGGUAAAGAAAGAAAAGUGUGUAAACUUGUUAAGUCACUCUAUGAGCUCCAACAAGCACCCAAAUAAUGGCAUGCUAAAUUUGACCAAACAAUGUUGACAAACAAAUUUAAGGUCACUAUGUGUGAUUAAUUUAUUUUCAUUAAAAUAUUCUGAAUUAUGAAGUCGUUAUUUAUUUAUAUGUUGAUUACAUGUUAAUAAUAAGUAAAGAUGUUGACGAUAUAAAUGCUACUAAGCGCAUGUUUUCUAGAAAAUUUGAUAUGAAUGACUUAGGAGUUGCUGAUUUGAUCUUAGGAAUCAGAAAUCAUAACACUCCACAAGGUCUAGCAUUAUCACAAUCUAAUUAUAUUGAAGGAGUACUUGAAAAAUUCAAGUAUUUGAAUUUUAAUGUUGUCAAGACUCCAAUUGAUGUAAGUUUUACCUCAGAAGAAUGAAGGUGAACGUGAUUCACAGUUGGACUUUGCAAGAGUGUUAAAAAGUUUGAUAUAUAUUAUGAUUGUACACGAUCAGAUAUAGCAUGUGCUAUUAUCAAAUUGAGUCGGUUCACUAAUAAUCCGAACCAAAAUCAUUGGAUGGCAACAAAAUGGAUUCUGGAGUAUCUGAAACAUACACCAAAAUUAUGCUCUAUAUUAUAAUAAAAAUCUCACCGUGAUUGAAGGAUAUUGCGAUGCAAAUUGAUUACCGGAUCAAAUGAAGUAAAAUUCACAAGUGAAUUUGUACUUAUCAUUGGUGGAUAAGAGUAUCUUGAAAAUCAUCCAAAUAGACAUAUUGCUUGCUCUACAAUGAAAUCUAAAUUUGUUAUUUUAGAUAACUCUGAUGAAGAAGUUGAAUGUCUUCAGAAUUUUUUAGUAUACAUUCCUUUCUGUCCCAAACCUCUGGGAUCUAUAUUCAUACAUUGUGAUAUUUAAACAACAAUAGAUAGGGCAGAGAGUGUUAUGUACAAUGACACAUCUCGUCAUAUAUGAAGAAGACAUAAUACUAUGAGAUAAUUACUCUCUAGUAGAAUUAUCACUAUUGACUAUGUAAACUAUAGAGAUAAUAUGUCGGAUCCACUUAUAAAAGGCCUAGCUAGAGAGGUAGUUGAAAGAUCAUCUAAGGAGAUGAGUUUUAAAACUUAGGACAAGUCAUAAUGUCGGUAACUCUACCUAGUAGACUAGAGAUUCCAAGACUUAGGUUUAAGGAGAUCAAACAAAAUUGUAACUGACAGUUCGACAUUAGCAAAUAACUCAAUCCCUUUUCAUAAUGAAGACAAUGUUUAGAAACAAAGAAAAAGCAUUAAGGAUUUUUAAUGAGUUAAUAAAGUUUAAAAUUUUUAAUGAUUUUUAAGUUUGGAAAAUUUUACCAAAUAGUGUAUCUACGCAGUAACACGGUUAGAAAUCACCUAUGUGAGUGUGAAAUGCAAGCGAAAGAGAAUGAUUGUAAAAGCUAAUUCUUUAUACACUCAUGAUAUUAAGAGGUGUUCAUGGCUAAAAUGAACACAACAGUAAGAACCACAUACAGUAAAGGGUUGGUUGUGUGAGAUAUAUAUGGUUGUCUAGGUAUAAACCAAAGUUUGAAAAUUCAAAGAUAUCAAAUUUAUCGAUUGACCGAGUAUCUCAGACAUAUUUUCACCAUGAAAAGUUCAAAGAAAAAAUUACUUAUAUAGAUGCAAUUAUUCCUUGCCUAUAAAUUACACACUCAUUCGUACAUUUCUUUAUAUUAUAGGCAUUCUCCAUUCAUGUGCGGAAUUGUUAGGUAUAGUGAAUAAAUGAAAAAUUAAGGGAAUAUGAAAUUGAAGGAAUAUAAAGUGUUCCAAUAUGCUUUAGUGAAAAACAUUUCUCUCUCAUUAGUGGUGGAAAGAAAAUUUCAAGUGUUUAAAUAAGGAAACACUACUACAUGUUGUUAAAAGGGUUGGAAAGAGAAACCCCUUCACGUCGUCGUCAUUGUUCGGCUCGACUUCGACAUUUUUUUUAGUUAUUUAAUAAUUUAAGUAAUUAUUAAUUAUUUAAUCAUUAAAUUAAAUUAUUCAACCCCAAUCGGAUCUACAUGACCCAGUGCGGAUCCGAUUCAGUUUGUUUCCCGAAUUUCAUUUAAAUUUUCAUCGUUUCUUAAAUGAUUGUACUAGAAGAUUGCAAAUUUUCAUAAACAGUACUUUUUAUGGCUAUAAAUCUCUUUGAUUCCUCAGACUUCAAAGUACAAAUUUUUGAACUUCUUUUUCUGUACAAAUAAAUUCUAGUUUUGGUACCAAUACAUUGGUGAGUAAAAUGAUUUUAUCCUGAAAGAAUAUAUUCAAUUAACCUCAGGUACUUAAGAAGAGUAAUUUCCUUAAGGAUACAUUGUGCAUUUAUGUAACACCCUGACUUUUCGAAACUCUAACUUAAUUUUCAUUUUCGUGGCAAGACGAAGAGUGAUAAUAAAUUAGUAAUGAUGUGGUAUGUCAUAUUUCAAGUGCUCAAGGGUCGUAUCUUAAUUUUUGAAGUUAAGCGAGUUUAGUAAUAAAAGUUAGCAAAAGUUAUCGUAAGUUCCUAUUUAAAGAUAUCUCUGAAAUUCAGUACAAAUGUCUCUGAGAUUUUCUCCCAAUCUAAAAAGAGUUAGAGGACCCAUAACCUAUCAAAUCGAAGGUCUAUGAGUCUAGUUUUCCAAGCAUCAAAUUGUUCCUUCAUGCAACAUCAGAAUAGAGAGAUAGUCACUUUUAUGUACCGACUGCACAUCAGAGAUGGCUAGUGGGGCUCCUAAGUCGGUGGAACUUUAUAAAAUAGCAUCUUCUUCAUUUUUUCUCAUUCCAGCUCGUAAGAAACCCAAAAAAACAGAUAAUUACUCCUCAAAUCAUACUUUUAUGUUCAUGAUCUCUCCUUGGUUCUUUAACAAAAAUUGAUCUACAUCACAAGCUCAUCGUUUUGGUAUAGUUUUCAUUGUGAAUUGUGCGGUGUAGCUUCGUGGAGGUUGUGGCAGCAGGGUUUUAUCUGUGGUUUGAGUUUGUUCAGGUAUUUUGGGUGUGUAUAUAAAGUUAAGAAUCAUCUUUUAUCGGUUUAUAAAUACCUUAGGCCUUGGAUAGUAAUUUACGAUAGGAAUCUGUAUCAAUUGUAAAUUGUCGUAGUGAUUCUUGUCCUUAAUUAUUGAUUGAGAUUAUUCUCCUUUUUUGGUGUUUUAGGGGUGCAGGCAGAGGUAUUAUUCAGCAUAAACUCUAAAUAAAAAGGUAUGUUAAGGCUAUUCCCUUCGUUCGGCAUGUUUUCUUAAAGUUUGUGAGUGAUAUAAUAGGAUUGUUAUCAUUGGUGAACUCAUAGAUAUAAUUGUGAGUUGUUGGAUGAUUAAAUGGUUAUAAUCCUUCAUUGUCGGGACUCGUAAUAUAUUAAUAACAGCCCUAUGUUGGGAACGACUUAGGGACUCUUUGUAUAGAUUAUUUAUAGCUAAACUGCUCGCCUUUAGCCUAUUGAAUUGUUUGUUAUUUCCCUUGGGGCUAGUGUAGUUAGCUAUAGAGAUAUGAACUGCCUAUGGGGUUAUGUUGUUGGCUAAGAGGACUAUGUUGUUUCCAAAGAGGGCUAUGUGUUGCCUACGGGAUUAUAUUGAUGUCAAAGAGGGCUAUGUGUUGCCUUCGGGGCUAUAUUGAUGCCAAAGAGGACUAUGUGCUGCCUACCGGGCUAUGUUAAUGCCUAAGAGGGAUGUAAACUACCUACGGGGCUAUGUUGAUGCCUAAGAGGGAUGUAAACUGCCUAUGGGGCUAUUUUGUUACCUAAGAGGGCUAUGCGCUACUUAUGGGGCUAUAUCAUUGCCUAAGAGGGCUAUGUGACUUCCUACAUAGACAAGGGGCUAGCGAUAGAGGUAUACAGAUUGAUUUGACACCUCCUGUGCUUAUGUGGGCCUAGGUAGGUGGUCUUGUUUAUUAUUUGUACAUGCCGAACUUAUGGAGGCUUGAUUAGGUUGUUGUUUGAUUAUUUUUGUAUGUUAAGAUUUAGUAGUAGGUUAGUAUGCUUAUAUUAUUUUUUAUUUCUUUACAUGAUUACUUUUGAUAUAUUAUGAUACUUGUUCAUUUAGUCUGUUGCCUUUCAUACUCGGUACAUUAUUUUGUACGGAUGCCCCAUUGUCUGGGGGCGCUGCAUUCAUGCCUGCAGGUAACGAAAGACGACUUGAUAGACCUCCCCAUCAACACAAGUGAGUUCCAGUAGGUUGGCUAGCCCCUUUCUUCCAGAGUUGCCAGAGUAUAAAGGUUUGUUGGAUUUUGUUGUAUAUAGUUUUUUGGUAGGUCGGGGACUUUCCCAACCAAGUUUUACUACUCUUAGAGGCUUGCAGACUAGUGUGUUGGGUUAUAUAGCCACGUUAUUGUCCAUGUUGACCUGAUUUGUUAGUUGGCUGAAGUUUAGUGAUGGUUUGGUUUAUUGUCUUGAUACAUAGUAUUUCUUAGCUUCUGUAUCUAGAGAUCAUGACGGCUUUGAGAGCUCAUAUAGCUUUUACAUUUUUCUAGAUAUCAUGGUGGCCUCGACGGCCCAAACAGGAUUUAUGUGCUAGCUGACUAUUUUUUUUAUAUGAACUGUGGGAAUAGUUAUAUCCUUUAUAGAGUUAUUGACAGGGGCCUUGCCGGUCAAGGACUUAUUUUUAAGCCGAGAUAUACCCGUUUGUUUUCUUAACUACAUGUGGCUUCUAUCUGCUAUUAGCAAAUGGUUCAGCAGGAUCGGCUCAGGCCCAAGUUUUGACAAUAGGUGCCAGUUGCACCACUUGAGUUUGGGGCGUGAAAAUUUAGUGGACUUAAUUUUCUUCUUAUCGAUAUAAUUUUUGAUUUAUUACAGAUUUUAUUUUCUUUACUAAUUUUAACUUUCUGAUAUUGAAAAUAUGUUUUAAACCUUGUUGUUUCUUACGAAGUGCUGCAAAGUUAUUAUUAUUGAUACGGAAUAAUAACAUAAAUUAGUUCUCAAACACAAAAGUGAAUAUUUGUUAGGAUUAUUUAGCAUAUUUACUCUCGAAAUAAAACACAAAGUUAAACAAAUUAAAUCAUGGACGUAUAAAUACACCAAACGUCAUGGUAGGUAAGGAGAAGAAGAAACCUUUUUAUGUAGUUAUAGUUUUGUCACCUUCUAACGUGACUAAACAAGGCAAAAGCUUUAAAAGGUCUCAAAAAGUGCGUUAUUAGUUGACAAGGACCUUUAUCUCAUGUAUUUCAUGAUUAUUUCCUCUACCAAGACAUAUGAACUCCAUUAGUUUUCUCUAACAUGUAUUAAUUAAUAACUACUAUAUCCUAAUAUAACUUAAUAUAGAAUUAAAAAACCUAAUAAAGACCAAUUGAACAAGAUCUUAAUUUAGUCAAUAACGUAUAUAUCUAUCUAUAAAUAAACAACUCUCCCCCUCCCCAAUAUUACUACUCAAAUAUUAAUUAAAAUGUUGUCCUCUUUUUUGGUGUUUUUGUUAAUAUUGUUAUUUGUUGGCUGUGAAGGAAAGGUGGAGAAUGGAUCUGUGACGGCUGUUUUUAUUUUGGAGAUUCGAUCGUUGAUCAAGGAAAUAAUAAUAAUAUUUCUACACUCAUUAAAUGUAAUUUUGAACCAUAUGGUAAGGACUUCAUGGGUGGAAAACCUACUGGAAGGUUUACCAAUGCCAAGACUCCCUCUGACUUGAUAGGUAUGUAUAGUUAAAUUAUCGUACUAUUUUGUUACAGUUAUUAUUUCUUAUUUUUUUCAAAAUGUUUAUCAUGCUUUUUUUAGUAUUUGUUUUGAUAUGCUUUUUUUUUUUUGAGUUGAUAUAUUGAAGACAACCUCUUUAGUCUCUAUAUUUCAAGGUAGGACUAUGACCUGUGUAUACUAAACCUUCUAUAUAUCCUAUUUAUAAAAUUACAUUUGGAUAUAUUAGAUAUAUUGUUGUAUCAAAAAAGAUAUUCUCAAAUAGUUGAGUUUCAUGGUGGAAAUUUUGUUUAAUUUGUUUGUUAAAAUAGAUAUUUAUGCCUAGAUCAAAGUGAUUCACUCGUGAAUUCCUAUAUUAUAAUGUCUAAAUUCUCAAACAAAGAAAGAAAAAGAUAAUGGUAAAAAUCAAGGUAGUGGUGGAGUGGUCUGUCUUCUUAUUUUCUUGUCAUUCUUCGGAUUUUAAUUUUGAUUUUCAGACCAUUAAAGUCAAAAUUUUGAUUUGCGAAAACGAAGUCAUCUUUAUUAGGAGCGUUUUACCCCUUAAUAUUAAAAUAUUUGGAGUGAAUUAAUUGAAUUUAGUCGACCUUAAUAUCGAAUAAGAAAAACAAAAAUAAAAAAGAAAUUAAAUAGGAGGGUGAACAAUUUGAGAUUCGCUAUAGCUUUCUUUGGCAACUUUUAUGACAUUUUUCAUAUUUAAAUAUCAACAACCCAAAUUUACUUUGGUAAAAAAUGAUUUUAUCUCACAAGAUUUUGCCAAACAUUAAAAAGGCGUCCAAGUAUAUAUACGUUCACAGAUAUUUCUAAAAUGAUAAUCACAAUAAAAUUGCACAUUAAGCACACACAAAAAAUAAUUUAAAAAUUUUGGUCAAAUAUAUGUUAGAACUUCAAUUAAAAUUUGAUUUUUCAAAAAUAUUCAGAAAUCUAUGACAAAACGGUAGAUAAUUAAAAUCAUUAAAUUUGAAAUCUUAUUUAUUUUUUAAAAUUUUAAAUCAAGUUAAAAUCAGAAAAAUAAAUUAAAAUAUAAAUGUACUAUAAAUAUCAUUUGGCUUUAUUGAUGGAAAAUAUUGUUCUUCCAACAUUUAUAAUUUAUUUCAGUGAAUGAACUCGGGAUUAAAGAAGUAAUGUCAGCUUAUCUUGACCCCUAUUUGCGAGUUGAAGAUCUGAAAACAGGAGUAAGCUUUGCAUCAGGAGGUUGUGGAUUUGAUCCUCAAACCUCUAGUAUUGCGGUAUUUUAUUCACACUUAUAUAUGUUGUUUAAUGUUUAAUAUUUUAGAUCAAUUAAUUAGAUAAUGUUUAAAAAUACAUUUGAAAUACCAUAUUUUUGUGAAUUCCUAUUUUAAGGAUUAUCUAUUCUUUAUUUUUACUUGAACUAUAUCGCCAACUAUUUAUCAAAACACACCUUAUAAAUUAUUCUUCUAGUCUCUCUUUGCUCCCCCAUCCCGAAACUCAAUUACUCCCUCCAUUUCAAUUUAUGUGACACUUUUCGAAUUUCGAAAUUCAAACAAGUAUUUUUUUAUCGUAAAUUUUUCAUAUAUCUUUUAAAUAUUUUGAAUUGUCAAUUAUUGUAACUUAUAGUACUUUUUACGUAGUUUAUAAAUUCAUAUGCAAAUUCUCGAUCAAAUUUAAAAUGUUUGACUCUCAAAAAGCGAAAAGUGUCACAUAAAAUAGGACAGAGGGAGUAUUAGUUAUUCCUUUUUUUCUAUCUGAACUAUAAUGUGUUUCACUUUUCUGAACUAUCACCAACUAUUUAUCAAAACACACUUUAACUACUACUAUUAGUUAUUCCAUUUUCCGACCUGAAGUGAUAUUCAUGUGCAAAUUUCAGUCAGUCAUACCUCUAUCAACACAAUUAGAUCAUUUUAAAGAAUGCAUUGUGAAGAUUAAGGAAUUAGUAGGAGAAGAAGAACAAAUGACAUAUUGAGGAAUAGCUUGUUCUUAGUGGUAGCAGGCAGCGAUGACCUCGCUAACACCUAUUUCACCAUUGGAAUUCGUCGGCUGCAUUAUGAUAUUAAUGCUUACACUGAUCCAAGUAUGAAUUUUCAUCACUAAAUAUCAUCAUAUAUUCUAAUGCAACUUAUGACAUAGUUGGUCAAAUUUCUAGUUCAUUUGUGUUUGCUUAAUAAAUUUUAAAGUAUUUUUAAGUAAUAAUUAGUGUUUGAUAACCAAGUUUUUUCAAAGUGCAUUUUUCCUUAAAACUGAUUUUGAGAAAAAAAAAUAUUUUCUCCUUCCCAAUUUAUGUGAUGUGUUUUGACUUGGCUUGGCUUGAAGUUUAAGAAAGAAAUAAUUUUCUAUUUUUAAACUAGUGGUCUAAAUUAAGUUAGAGAUAUUUGUGUUGUUAUAAAUUAUUUCAUAGGGGUAAAAUGAUCAUUUUAAAGCUAAAUAAUUACUAAAUAUAGAAAUAUGUCAUUUUUUAGGAUUGACAAAAAAAGAAAGUGAGUCACACAAAUUGAUACACAUUGAGUAUUUUCUUUUAGCUUUUGAAAAACAACUGUUAUUUCUCAGAACCACUUAUUUACAUUCAAAAGCUUGGUCAACUAUCUUACUUUUCUAUUUUUGAGAAAAAAAAGAGCAUUUUUUACUUUCGAAAAACUUGAUCAAACAUACUAUUAAUCUAGUUGUUUAGGUUUCAAUCAAUGAUUGUUUAAUUGUUUUUCUUGGAAGGAAUUAUACAAGUUAGGAGCAAGAAAAAUAGGUGUUUUUGGGGUUCCACCCAUAGGUUCUUUGCCAGCCCAAAGAACACUUGCUGGAGGUUUCAGUAGAGGGUGCGUUGUGGAAUACAAUCAAGCAGCACAGUUAGCCAACACUAAGCUCUCAGCUGCAAUUGCUUCAUUGUCAAAAAAUUUACUUCAAUCAGUGUUGGUUUUGAUUGACAUCUACAAUCCUCUGCUUGAUCUCAUUGUCAACCCUCAAAAACAUGGUAAACACAUAUACAAUCUUCUUUCAAAUCAUAGAUUUUUUUUAAUUGUAUAUUCAAGUUAGUAAGCAUAUACUGUUUUCAAUUUAAUUUGUUUGUCUGAUUUUGAAUUUAUUUUAAAAAAAAAAAAUGAAUAGUCAAUGCAUUUCAGGAUUUGAAGUAGUAGAUAAAGGAUGUUGUGGUAGUGGAAUGAUAGAGACAGUGAUUCUAUGCAACAAAUACAGUGGAACAUGUGAAGAUAACACAAAAUAUUUAUUUUGGGAUAGUUACCAUCCCACAGAGAAAGGUUACAGAAUUCUUGUUGAUCAGAUCCUCCAAAAAUAUGUCAAUAUUCUUACGACAUAAACAUGAAUUCAAUCACGACCAGCUUAGGAUGCAUUUACAAACAUGAAUGGGAAGCAAGGUCAAUAUUCGUCCAACUGUUCUUCAUCAGUUUGCUUCAUCUUUGAAUUUUGUUUUAUCGAGAUUUUGUACACAACAUAUUUGUUUUCUUUAUUUUGCAUCUUUGUAAAUCUCCUCUAUGUAUGUUCCAUACAUACCAUAUUUUAUGGUGUUUGUAAUUUUGAAAUAAAAAGAUAUUCAUGUUUGGGAACUUAGUUGGAAAAAGAAAAAAAAUUAUUGUAGUUUCUCUUUAAACAUAUGUUAUAGAUCAAAUAGAAUCUCAAGCAAGAGAUAGAUAAUAACAUCAAGGAUACAGCAGGGAAGAAGAUAUACAACAAGAUAAGGUAAGGAAAAACAUCCUACAAGAGAAUAUAACAAACUAGGAUCAAUUUGCUUUGGAGUUACGUCAACAAAACAAAGAGGAAAAAUGUCAAGAUCAGCCCAAUUAGUAACAGCUCUAACAUAGACUAGUUAUAGAUAUCAAGAUUGGUGAUUGGAUUCUGGUGUAACAAUACAUGUCUAUCAUGACAAGAAUAUGUUCAAGACUUAUUCAGAAGUAAAAGAUUCUGAAAAAGUGUUAAUGGGCAACCAUAAUCCGGCCGAAGUUUUAGGAAAAAGAACAAUUGAGAUCAAUUUCACAUCUGGACAGAAGCCGACUCUUGUGAUUGUGUUCCAUGAUCUAUAAAUGAUGAAGAACUUGAUUUCUGCUAGCUUACUUUCUAAGAAAGGUUUAUGAUUGUAAUUGAGUCUGAUCAUGUAAUUGUGUCAAAGAGUGAUAUGUUUAUAGGGAAAGGAUAUCACUGUGAUGGUGUAACACCACGGAAAUUGGAAAGGGAAAAGUUUCAUUUUUGGCACUGAGGUUGUGGUCUACGAGUCCAACCUAUGAACUGUAGGAAGAAAGUUGUAGGACUUGAUUAGAGAUUUGAAAAUGAUAAGUCUCUGAUAUUUAACCUAAGAAUGGACAGGAUGGAUCGUACAGUAUUCUUGGGGUCGUAGGAGGUACUCAUAGAAGUGAUCUAGACAUAGUGAAAUUUUGGGCUUCAACUUGAGGUCUACGGGAGAGGUCUUCGGACCGUAGGAUGGAUUCGUGGAAAUUGGCUGGACUUUUGGGUUCUAAUAAUUUGUUCUACAGUUGACCAAUACGGUCCGUAGAAUCUCUUACAGACCGUAGACCUGUCCGGCAGAUUUUUAUUAAGGAUGUUUUGGUCUUUUCCUACCCAAUUAACCCCUAAACUAUGUAUUUUUUUUCUAUAACUACCCUAUAACCGUUUUACUCUUACAACUAAGUCUAAUUUGAUCCCUUCAUUCACUCAAUUCUCCCAAAAUCCUCUAGUCUUUUUCUUUAAAUUUCUCUCAAGAGCUCUCAAGUCAAGGAUUAGGGUUUCAUCAUGCUUCAAGGUUCUUUUCUCCAUUGCUAGGGCAUUGAUUACCCAAGGUAUAUGGAAAUUCACCAAUGGAUCCCUUCAUCCAUUAGGUUCCUAAAAAAACUCAAAUCUCCAAUUCAAUUUCAUCCAAUUAUCUAGGGUUUCAUGCUAUUCUUCAUGGGUCAUAUUUAUUAUGAUUCAAUUGUUUAUAUUCAAUCUUAUUAUGCAUGAUUUGAUUCAAUUACAUGAAAUUCAAUUGAUUUUAUGUGGACUCAUGCCUAUGCCUAUUUUAUGAACUUGAAUUAUGAACAAUGCUUAUGAACUUAUGAACUAUGAUCAUGAAUUUGAUUAAGGAUUUAUGCAUGUUUUAUGAAAAGAAUAAUUUAUUACUAAAGAAUCCUUUUAAGAUAAAAUGUCAAUGAUUUGUGAAAGGUUUUAUCACAUAUGAAAUAAAUCAUGAUUUAAAUACUUAGAAAGGAAGUAUCUUAUGAACAAGUUUAUGAAAUUAUGAUUUUGAAAGGAGCUACUCUAUUAUGACUUAUGAUUGGAUUGAUAGUCUUGAUUGUGUCUUCCAAGUAUUUUGAUAUUAUUAUGAUUAUUUCUUUUCUGUUAGGAUUUACUAAGCACCGAGAGGACUCAGAGAUGGAGGCUCUCCCAUUAGUAGAGGCCGGGUCUCUAGAAGAAAUCCCAUUGUCCCAAACUACGUGCCUCUGUAGGAUUGUCUUAAAUGACCUUAGCUAGUGGAUCCACUUUAGCAAAGAAUGAAUGUGAUAGAGUCUUACCUUGGUAAGUAGAUUUCUCUUUUUUGAUGUGAGGGUCAUACCAGAUUCCAUGUUGUAAAUCGAAUGGUUUUAUUGUCGGUUAACAGUAUAUAUCCCACAAAGUAUGUUAUCUUCAAGGGAUUUAUGAAAGAUUCUCAAAUGGUUUUACGUAUGCAUUGACCUCGUAUAUGAUUUAUGAUUUCCUUAUAAAGGCUUUUAUAACAUUUUACUUGGUCUGACAUAUCAUGCUUAAAUUCACCUGCUAUCAUGCUUUAUGUUUCAUUCAUUUUCCCAUACUUAGUACAUUCAUCGUACUAAUGCUUGUUUAUGCCUAUAUUAUCUCAAAUAUAGGGCCUGACGCUCUUCCUCUCUCUCUUGGUAUGCUUGAAUUGCUCUAUUAGUAUGUGUAUUGGUGAGUUAUCAUGGAUCGAGGACAAAACCAUUUAUGUUGUAUUUCUUAUAUCAUCUUUUACUUUCAGACUUGUACGUGGUGUACGAAUUACGUUCGAACCACUCUUAUGAUGUUAGAAAGUCUAUGUCAGACAUAGUUUAGUUUUCCCUACUUAUGUUUAGAUUUUUGUCUUAUGAUAUGAGACUUAUAUUGCCUAUUCUUUCUCUUGUUGUAUUUCAUGUACGUCAUGCUUAUGUCAAGUGACUUAUUUAGGUCCUCUCGGGAUCUUAUUUUCCAUGUCACGUCUAGGGUGUACUUUUAAUCGUGAUAAAGUUUGUAUUAGAGCAUUAGGUUUUAGAAAAGGUCCUAAGAUAUCUAACAAGCCGCGUCGAGUAAAGUCUUGUUCAUGUGUGUGAAGCGCACCACAUUUAUGAAUAGGAGGCUGCAAGGUGCUUAAAAAACUGCACUUCUUUUAAUAUAUAAAAUUUUGCAAUAGAGUUAUCUCUAUAACGGUCUUUAUCCUAACUCUUAUCCAAUGCUUUUCAGGAUAUGUCUCCUAGAAGAGCUAACACAAGAAGAAUAUGGCUAAUGAUGCGGAGCUCGAGGUUCCUCAAGUGUCGGACGUUCCUUUGACCGAGCAAGUGACUCAUGCAAAAUUUCGAGUCAUUUUUCAAGUGUUGGUUCAAGCUAUGACAUCCUAAGAUAAUAGAGAGGUUAUAGCUCAUGUGAACCCAAUUGUGGGUACGGUGACAACAAGAGUGCGGGACUUAACUAGCAUGAAUCCUCCGGAGUAUCAUGGGUCAAAAGUUAAUGAGGAUCCUCAAUAAUUUUUUGAUGAGAUUAUAAGAUAGUGGAAAUUACAUGAGUGUCAAUGGUGAAAAAGGCAGAAUUAACCUCUUAUCAACUCAAAGGUGUUGCUCAAGUUUGGUUCAACCAUUGGAAGGAAGAUAAGGCUAUUGAUGUGGGUCCUCUUGAUUUGGAGAAAUUCAAAGGGACUUUUGUUCUUCGUUUCUUUUCUCUUGAGAUUAGGGAGGUAGAGGUGCUUGAGUUCAUUAAUCUUAAUCAAGGGAAUAUGAGUGUGAAAGAGUAUAUAUUGAAUUUUACUCAAUUAUUUAAGAAUACUCCGACUAUGGUUGCCUACUCUAGGGCAAGGAUGAGUAAGUUUGUGUCAGGGGUUUUGAAAUGGUGAUCAAGGAGUGUCGUACUGCAAUGUUGAUUAAGGAAAUGGAUAUCUCUCAUUUGAUUAUACAUGUCCAACAAGUUGAAGAGGAAAAUCUAAAAGAGAAGUCUAGGAAGUAAAGAGGGCAAGGACCGGUGAUGGUGACUUUUCUCAUUUUAGGUCCAGUGGACACAGUCAUCCUCAAUUCAAGCAAAAGUUUUUGGUCAAGGUUCUUCUAAUGUUCCGGAUUCUAAAUUAAACAAAGAUAAGAUGUCUAACCCUAAGCCUCAAGGGGGGGAGGUAAUGGAUCUUCCAUUCCCAUUUGCCAAAAGUGUGGCAAAAGUCACUCGAGAAAAUACUUAACCAGUACGGAUGGUUGCUUUGGUUGUGGGAAGAGUGGUCACAAGGUAAGAGAUUGUUCAUUGCUCGUUAUUAGGUAGAGAUGGUAGGAAAGACCAGCCUAGUGAUUUUGGUUCGGGCGCUCAUCGUCCGAAAAGGUUUUAUGUUCUUCAGACUUGGAUAUUUUGACCGGUAUGUUGAGAGUUUUUCAUUUUGAUAUGUAUGCAUCGCUUGAUCUGGGGCUACCUUAUCAUUUAUUACUCUGAAUGUGUCCAUGAGAUUUGAUGUUGAUCUUGAAAUCCUUUCUGAUCCCUUUUCUAUCCCUACGCCUAUUGGUGACUCCAUUGUUGCUAAAAGAGUUUAUAGAAAUUGUCGUGUUUCUAUUUCCCAUAGAUUCACUCAUGUUGAUCUCGUAGAGCUUGAUAUUCUAAAUUUUGAUGGUAUUCUUGGGAUGGAUUGACUUCAUUCUUGUUAUGCUUCCAUAGAUUGUAGAACCCGAUUGGUCACAGUCCAAGUUCCGAACAAACCUAUCUUAGAAUGGAAAGGGGGAAAUUCUGCUCCUCUGGGCUAGUUCAUAUCUUUCCUAAAGGCAAGGAAAAUGAUUUCUAAGGGUUGCAUUUAUCAUUUUGUUCGGAUUAAGGAUACGGAUUUUGAAACCCCUACUCCUAAGUCAGUUCCGAUUGUAAAUAAGUUUUCAGAAAUGUUUCCCGAUGAGCUUCUUGGUAUUCCACCCAAAAUGGAAAUAGACUUCGGUAUUAACCUACUCCUAGAUAUGCAGCCUAUCUUUAUUCCUCCUUACUGUAUGGCUCCGGCAGAGUUUAAGGAAUUAACGGACAACUGAAAGACUUAUUGGCUAUGGGUUUCAUUAGAUUAAGUAUCUCUCCAUGGGGUGCUACGGCAUUGUUUGUUCAAAAUAAGGAUGGUUCCCUCUGAAUGUGCAUUGACUAUUGGCAAUUGAAUAAGGUCACAAUAACGAAUAAGUAUCCUACUCCAAGGAUUGAUGAUUUGUUUGAUUAACUUCAAGGUGUGAGUUUCUUCUCCAAGAUUGAACUUCGGUCGGGUUAUCACCAAUUAAGGGUAAAGGAAGGUGACAUUCUAAAGACGACUUUUGAACUUGGUAUGGUCACUAUGAGUUUUUGGUGAUGUCGUUUUGUUUGACUAAUGCACCGGUGGUGUUCAUGGACUUAAUGAAUAGGGUCUUUAAGCAAUAUCUUGACAUGUUCAUAUUGUGUUUAUUGAUGAUAUUUUGAUUUACUCGUGGAGAGAGAAUGAGUAUGUUGAGCAUUUAAAGAUUGUAUUGUAAAUUCUCAAGGAUCGUGAAUUGUAUGCUAAGUUUAGCAAAUGCAAGUUUUGAUUGAGGUCUGUCGCUUUUCUUGGUCAUAUUGUCUCUGGCGAAGGUAUUUCAGUUGAUCCUAAGAAGACCGAAGUAGUUAGGAAUUGGCCUAGACCUUUGUCCGCUUCAGAUAUUUAGAGCUUCUUGAAUUUAGUCAGUUAUCAUAUAAGGUUUUUCCUUUAUUUCUUCGCCUUUGACAAUGUUGACUCAAAGGAAGGUGAAAUUCCUAUGGUUAGAAGCAUGUGAGAAGUGUUUCCAAAAUGAAGGAUUGACUUACUCCAACCCUAUUUUGACAUUAUCGGAAGGAUUAGAUGGUUUGUAGCUUAUUAUGAUGCUUCUCGGAUCGGUCUUGAUUGUGUUUUGAUGCAAAAUGGGAAAGUCAUCAAUUAUGCUUCAAGACAAUUGAAGGUGCAUGAAAAGAAUUAUUUGACUCAAUAUUUAGAGUUAGCGGCAAUAGUGUUUGUUCUAAAGAUUUGGAGACAUUAUCUUUACGGAGUUUAUGUGGAUGUGUUCGCCGAUCAUAAGAUCUUGAAGUAUGGGUUUACUCAGAAGGACAUAAAUCUUCGUCAAUGGAGAUGGCUUAAGUUAUUGAAAGAUUACGAUAUGAGUAUUCUUUAUCACUCGGGCAAGAAAAAUGUGGUGGUCGAUGCCCUUAUUCAGUUGUUAAUGAGUAUUGUGGCCCAUGUUGAAAAUGGUAAGAAAGAGAUAGUUCGCGACGUUAAUAGACUAGCUUAACUAGGUGUUUUCUUGGUUGAUUUCUAUGAAGGUGAUAUCAUUGUUAAAAAUGGGUCAAAUUCAUCUUUUGUGUCGGAUGUGAAAGCUAAGCAAGACCUUGAUCCGAUUUUGUUUGAUUUGCUGAAGUUGGUUUCCAAAAAAUCCAUUGAGGUUUUCUUCCAAGGGGGAGCUGGUGUUCUUCGUUACAAAGGUCGAUUAUGUGUUUCAAAUGUUGAUGAGUUGAGAAAUCAAAUUUUUCAUGGAAGCUCAUAGUUCUCGAUAUUCUAUUCACCCGGGAGCCACCAAGAUGUACCAUGAUGUACAAGAAGUCUUUUGGUAGAAUGUGAUGAAGAAAUAUAUUUCAAAAUUUGUGGCUAAGUGUCCUAAUUGCCAAAAAAAUGAAGGUUGAGCAUCAGAAAUCGGGAGGUUUGUCUCAAACAUUAGCAUUCCUACUUGGAAUUGGAAAGACUUAAAUAUGGAUAUUGCUACCGAUUUACCUUGUACUCAACGGCAACACAAUUUGAUUUGGGUUAUUGUGGAUCGUAUGAAGAAGUCAGCUGAUUUCAUUUUUGUGAAGACUUCGUACUCGGUAGAAGACUAUUCUAAGUUGUGUAUUCAAGAAAUGAUGAGGUUGCAUGGAGUGCUCAUAUUUAUUAUCUCCAAUCGUGGUACUCAGUUUUACAUCUCUAUUUUGGAGGUCACUUCAGAAAGGUUUUGGUACUCAAAUGAAGCUUACAAUGACUUUCCAUCCUUAGACCGAUGGACAAGCCAAGCGUACUAUUCAGAUCUUAGAAGAUAUGUUGAGAGCUUGUGUGAUUGAUUUCAAGGAUAAUUGGGAUGAUCAUUUGCCUUUGAUCAAGUUUGCUUAUAAUAAUAGUUAUCAAUCAAGUGUCAAAUGGCUCCACUUGAUGCUCUCUAUGGUAGGAGGUGUAGGUAUCCUAUUGGUUGGUUUGAAUAUGUUAAGGUCACUUUAAUAGGAUCUGAGUUGGUGCAUGAGGAUAUGGAAGACUUACUAGGAAAAGGUUGAAAUCGGCUCAAAGUCGACAAAAGUCUUAUAUCAAUGCUAGAAGAAGAGAGAUCAAAUUUGAUAUUGAUGAUUAGGUCUACUUGAAAAUCUCACCUAUGAAGGGUGUGAUGAGGUUUGGAAAGAAAGGUAAGCUUAAUCUCGGUAUGUGGGCCCAUAUCAGAUUUUGAGAUGUAUUAGUAAGGUAGCAUAUCAGUUGGAUUUGCCUUCCAACUUGGCAUCGGUUCCAUGUUUCAUUGUUGAAAUAAUGUGUUGGUGAUUCUACUUCUAUUGUGUCAUUGGAAAGUUUGGGAGUUCAGGACCUAUGAAGAGGUUCCGUUUGAAAUUUUGAAUCGCCAAGUCUGGAUGUUGAGAAAUAAAGAAGUUGCAUCUGUGAAGGUUCUUUUGAGAGAUCAACUAGUUUAGGGUGCUACUUGACCGAAGCCGAAAUGAUGUCCCGGUAUUCUCAUCUAUUUCCCUGCGCUCCUAUUCUAGCUUGAGGUAUUAAGUACCUCAUGGUUCAUUCUUUUGGAUUCAUGUGUUUUAGUCAUUCUCAUAUUUCCCUAUGCAUGCAUGUUUCAUGAAAUUUGCUUUAAAGUUAUGUUUUAGAUUGAAUUUGAUUACUUCCUAAUUUUGUGCAUUAUGAUGAGAUUUGCAUUCAUGUUAGGUUGUUAGUUUCUCUUCAUACUCUAAUUCAUGAUAGUUUGAGUCUCAUUCGAGGACGAAUUUUUCCAAGGGGGAGAUAUUACAAUACCUCAAAAAUUAAAAGUUGAGAUUACAAAGGGGAAAGUUUCAUUUUUGGCACUGAGGUUGUGGUCUACGAGUCCAACCUACAGAUCGUAGAAAGUCCUACGGGCCGUAGGAAGGAAGUAGUAGGACUUGAUUUGAGAUUUGGAGAUGACAAGUCACUGAUUUUGACCUACGAAUGGACAGGACGGAUCGUAGAGUGUUCUAUGGAUCGUAGGAGGUACCCGUAGAAGCGAUCCAGACUUAGUGAAAUUUUGGGCUUAAACUUGAGGUCUACGGAAGAGGUCUAUGGACCAUAAUAUGGUCGAUGGUUCAUAGUAAUGAUUCGUGAAAAUUGGAUGGAGUUUUGGGUUCCAAUAAUUGGUUCUACAGUUGACCAGUAUGGUUCGUAGAAUCUCUUACGGAUCGUAGGUCCGAACCGUAAACUUGUUCGACUGGUAUUUAUUAAGGAUACUUUGGUCUUUUCCUACCCAAUUAACCCCUAAACUACGUUGUGUUGGCCCUAUAACUAUUCCUAUAACCAUUUUUACUCUUACAUCUAAGCCUAAUUUCACUCAAUUCUCUCAAAAUACCGAAGUCUUCUUCUCUAAUUUUAUCUCAAGUUAAGGGUUAGGGUUUGAUUAAGCUUCAAGGUUCUUUCCUCCAUUGUUAGGGCUUUGAUUACCCAAGGUAUAUGGAAAUUCACCAAUGGAUCACUUUCAUGCAUUAGGUUCCAAAAAAAACUCAAAUCUCCAAUUCAAUUUCAUCCAAUUAUCUAGGGCUUCAUGUUAUUAUUCAUGGGUUCUAUUUAUUAUGAUUCAUUUUUUUUAGUAUUCAAUCUUACUAUGCAUGAUUUGAUUCAAUUACAUGAUUUUCAAUUGAUUUCAUAUGGACCCAUGCCUAUGCCUAUUUUAUGAACUUGAAUUAUAAACAAUGCUUAUGAACUUAUAAACUAUGAUCAUGAAUUUGAUUAAGGAUUUAUGCAUGUUUUAUGAAAAGAAUGAUUUGUGAUUAAAGGAUAUUUUUAAGAUAAAGUGUCAAUGAUUUGUGAAAGAUUUUCUCACAUAUGAAAGAAAUCAUGAUUUAGAUACUAAGAAGGGAAAAAGGACAAAUAUACCCCUGAACUAUCACAAAUGGUACAUACAUAUCCUCCGUUAUACUUUAAGGUUGCAUAUACCCUUACCGUUACUCUUUUGGGUUGUGUAUACCCUUAAAACUAACGGACGGACACGUGGCUUCAUCUCAACAAUUUACUCGAUUUUAUUUAUUUUUUACCUAAAAUUAAAAAAAAACCCACCCAUCUUUCAUUUAUCCACCCAUGACCCAAAUUAAAACACCAUGACAUUUUAAAUUAAAAUUUUAAAAAAAAAAAGAGCCCUCCACCAUUAAAACAUAACCCAAAACCUUUAAAUCAAACAAAACACGAAAUUAUUCUUCAAUACAUCUUCAUUUGCAGCUCUUUUUCAAAUCUCAUUAAACAAAGACACAGUAGCUUGUUAUUUCAUUGAAAAAUAAGAGACCCAUUUUAAUUUGUUGUUCAAAUCGAUUUGUUGUUGAAUGGGGUUGGAAAUACUAUCAUCAUUGAUGGACGAAACUUCAAGUUUAAAAGUGGGUCUUCAAUAGAAUAAAAAAAUUUGAAUUUAAACUGAUUUGUUGUUGUUGAAAGGGGUUGGAAAUACUAUCACCAUUGAUGGACAAAGCUUCAAGAAAAGUGGGUUUGUAAUCAAAUAAGAAAAUUUUAACUUAAAUUAAUUAGUUGUUGUUGAAACGGGUUAAAAAUAUUACCACCAUUGACGGAUAAAGCUUCAAGCUUUAAAUUGAAUUUGCAAUUGAAUAAAAAAAUUGAGCUCAAAUUGAUUUGUUGUGAUUAAAAGGGUUCAAAAAUAUUCUUGAAAUAGAUUUUGAUGAAAUGAACCAAGUGCACCAUAUUUUUGUGGUUGUUGUUGGAAAGCUUUUGAUUUUAAUUUUGCACAAAGUUAAAAAAAUUGUGUUGUUGAAAGCGGUUGAUUCAUUGUUGUUGUCUAAACUUUAAGGAGGAUGCAUUGAGUUUAUUCUAGAUGAAGUUUUUUUUUAUUUCUCUUUUUUUUUUGGAUUAGCAAGGAAUCAGUGAUAUUCUCUCACAAAAAAGAUGAAGGGUAUUUGGUUGUGGGUCGGGUGAAUCUUUUAUUUUAGGUAAAUAAAUAAAUAAAAUUGAGUAAAUGGCUGAGAUGAAGCCACGUGUCCGUCCGUUAGUUUUAAGGGUAUACACAACCCAAAAGAGUAACAGUGAGGGUAUAUACAACCUUAAAGUAUAACGAAGGGUAUUAACAUACCAUUUGUGAUAGUUCGGGGGUAUAUUUGUCCUUUUUCCCUACUUAGAAAGGAUGAGUCUUAUGAAUAAGUUUAUGAAAUUAUGAUUUUGAAAGGAGCUACUCUAUUAUGACUUGUGAUUGGAUUGACAGUCUUUAUUGUGUCUUUCUAAGUAUUUUGAUAUGAUUAUAAUUAUGUCUUUUUUGUAGAAAUUUUCUUAGCACCAAGAGGACUCUAAGAUGGAGGCUCUCCCAUUAGUAGAGGUCGGGUCUCUAGAAGAAAUCUCUUUGUCCCAAAUUGUGUGCUUCUGUAGGAUUGUCUUAAAUGACCUAAGCUAGUGGAUCCCCUUUAGCAAAGAAUGAAUGGGAGGGAUUCUUACCUUGACAAAUAGAUUUUCUUUUUCAAUGUGAGGGUCAUACCGAAUUUCAUGUCAUAGCUCACUUGGUCUUAUUAUCGGUUAAUGGUAAAUAUCCCACAAAUGAAUUACGUUUUCUUCAAGGAUUUUAUGAAAGCUUCUCAAAUGGUUUUAAGUAUGUAUUGAUCUCAUAUAUGAUUUAUGAUUUCUUUAUAAUUUAUCACAUUUUACUUGGUCUUGCAUAUCAUGCUUAUAUUCACCAUGUUAUCAUGCUUUACGUUUUCAUGCAUUUCUCCAUACUUAGUACAUUCAUCGUACUAAUGCAUACUUUUGCCACUAUUGUCUCAAAUAUAGGGUCAGACGCUCCUCCUCAUGCUUGUGGUUUUCUUGGAUUUCUCUAUUAGUACAUGUAUUUGUGAGUCCUCGUGGAUCAAGGACAAGACCAUUUAUGUUGUAUUUCUUUUAUCGUUUUCUAGUUUCAGACUUGUACAUGGUGUAUGAGUUACGUCCUAACCACUCUUAUGAUGUUAGAAAGGCUAUGUCAGACACAGUUUAGUUUUCUGCACUUAUUUCAAAUUUCUCUUAUGAUAUAAGACUUACAUUGCCUAUUCUCUCUCUCUUGUUAUAUUUCAUGUAUAUCAUGCUUUGUCAAGUGUCUUGUUUAGGGCCUCUCGAGAUACUAUUCUCCAUGUCACGUCUAGGGUAUACUUUGGGUCAUGAGAGAUGGUAUGUUUAAGUUAAGUGUUAAUGCAAUAAACGAUGCUUCUAUUUAUAUUUUUGUGUCUGGUUCUUAUUUAUGGCAUGCUAGAUUAGGACAUUUAAAUUUUGAUUCUAUAAAUGAGAUGUAUAAAAAUAGUUAUAUUAACUGUAAAUUUGAUGAUGGAGAAAAGUGUGAAAUAUGUAUACAAGCAAAAAUGACUAAGAAAUCUUUUCGUAAAGUUGAAAGAUUUAUAUAAAUGUUACAUUUAGUGCAUUCUGACUUAUGUGAAUUAAAUGGUGAAUUAACUAGAGGAGCAAAAAAAUACUUAAUUACUUUUAUCGAUGAUUUUUCUAGAUUUACACAUGUUUAUCUCCUUAGAACAAAAGAUGAAGCAUUUCAAAAGUUUAAGGAAUAUAAUCAGUUAUGAAAAAUCAAAAGACUAGAAAAAUAAAAAUUCUUUGAAGUGAUAGAGGAGGAGAACAUUCACUUUAAUAAAUUUUGUGAAGAUUAAGGUAUUAUACAUUAAACUAGUGCUCCUUAUACAACUCAACGGAAUGAGUUGGCUGAAAAGAAAAAUUAAAUCUAUAGCAGAUAUGGUUAAUUCUAUGUUGUUGAAUUUUCACUUACCAGUACAUAAUUAGUGGGGUGAAGCUCUACUUAUUGCUUGUCAUAUAUUAAAAAGAGUAUCUUCCAAAAGUAUGCAUGUUUCAUUUUAUGAACUCAUAUCUCUUAUUUUUAAGUGUGGAGGUGUAUGUAUAUCUUUUAUAGAGUUCUUGGCCAUCAAAGAACAAAGUUGGAUCCUAGAGGAAUAAAAAGUAUUUUUUGUAGGAUAUGUACAACAAUCGAAAGCGCAUAAAUUACUUGAUCUAGAGUCUAAUGUUGUUGUAGAAUCUAUUCAUGUUGAAUUUUUAAAAAAUAAUUUUUUGACUGACGUUAUUCUUGAAAAUUUGACUGAAGCAAAUCAAAGUAGUCUUAAUGAGGAAAAGAUGUUACACUCCAAUAAAAGAAAAAGUGACAAUACUCAUCUAGAGCUAAGAAGAAUUCAAAGAGUUAGGAGAGAAAAAAAACUCGGUCCUAAUUUUAUCUCCUUAGAAUUGCUAACUUUUCUAGUGGGGGAGAUGGAAUUAAAGUUUGUAAUCAAAUGCCUAUUUUGUUUAAUAUAGAAGAAGAUCCUAGAAUAUUUGAAGAAGUUAUGUCUUCAAGAGAUGUUACUUUUUGAAAAGAGACGAUUAAUGAUGAAAUGGAUCAUUAAUGUCGAAUAAUACUUGAAUUUUAGUUGAUUUGCCUCAUUGAUCAAAAUGUAUAGGUUGUAAGUGGGUAUUUAAGAGAAAAUAUAAUAGUACUAUACAAACUUUCAAGUUAAUUGCAAAAGGCUUUACUCAAAAGAAAAGUAUUGACUACUUUGAUACAUAUGCCCCAGUAGCAAAAUAACAUCUAUUAGAGUACUUUUAUCCUUGACAUCUAUAUAUUAUUUGUAUGUACAUCAAAUGGAUGCAUCCCUAAAUGAAGGUUUAAAUGAAGAAAUCUACAUGAAACAACCGGAAUGAUUUGUUUUUUCUGAUAAUGAACAUAAACUUUGUAAGCUAAUUAAGUCUAUGAUUUGAAACAAGCACCAAAACAAUGGCAUGAAAAAUUUUGAUGGUGUGAUAUUAUCAAAUGAAUUUGUAUAUAACACUGCUGAAAAAUGUAUUUGCUCCAAAUUCACAAAAGUUUAUAGAGUUGUCAUUUGUCUUUAUGUAGAUGACAUGCAUGUUGAUUUUUGGUACAAACAUGCUUGGAAUUUAUGAAACUAAGAAAUAUCCAACUUCAAACUUUGAGAUGAAAGAUUUGAAUGAAGUAGAUAUUGUUUUAGGUAUCAAAGUUAAGAGAAAUAAUAAGAGAGUGACUUUAUCACAAGCACACUAUAUUGAUAAGCUACUGAACAAGUUCAGUCAUUUUGGCAUAGAGAAAUCUAAUACUCCAUAUGAUUCAAGUAUAAAGCUUACAAAAAAUAAUGAAAGAAUAAUGGCUCAGUUAGAAUAUGCAAGUGCAGUUGGAAGUUUAAUGUAUGUAAUGCACUGCACUAGGCCUCAUAUAGCAUUUUCCACCAGUAAACUUUCUAGGUUUACAAGCAGUCCAGUAGCAUUCAUUGAAAAGCUAUAAUUAGAGUACUUGAAUAUUUAAAGAAAACAAAACAUUUGGGGAUCUGUUAUAGUGGUUUUCCUACAAUAUUAUAAGGAUAUUCUGAUGCAAGUUGGAUUACAAGUACAAAUGAUAAUAAGGUCAUUUCAGGUUGGAUAUUUACUUUGAGGGGUGGCUCCAUUAGUUGGGCAUCCAAGAAACAAACUUGUAUUUCCCAUUCCACAAUGAAAUCUGAAUUCAUUGCAUUAGCAGUUGUUGGAAAAGAAGCGGAAUAACUGAGAAACAUGUUACUAGAUAAAAAGUUAUGGACACAGCCUAUGCCAGCCAUUUUCAUAUUUUGCGAUAGUGAGACUACUAUGUGCGUAGUUCAUAAUAAAAUGUAUAAUGGAAAAUCAAAACAUAUAAGCUUAAGACAUGCUUAUAUAAAAGAGCUACUUACCAGCGGAAUUAUGACUAUAGUGUAUGUGAGAUCAAAUAAAAAUUUGGUUGUUUCUUUUAUAAAAUCCUUAAAUAGAGAUGCAGUACAAUAAAGUAGCUAGUGAAGGAAUGGAGUUAAAACUCUUAAAUUAAACACAAAUAAUGUAAUCCAGCUUUGAGUUAGUAUACACUCUGACAAUAUAAGUUCAAUGGGUAAUAACAAGUUAUUUGUGUUGUUUAAGCAUGAGUCUCCUCGCUUAAAUCCUUCAUUUGUAUUGUUUACUGUUAUGGGAGGAAAUUAGAAAUUGUUAAAUGUCUGUAAUUAUAGGGGCUUAAUAACAAAUUUCAAAGUGCAUAUUGUUACAAGAAAGAGGGUGAAUUAAUUCUUAAUGAGAUUAGCAAAUGUUUGUACUAACAGGACAUAUAGUCUAUUUUCACCUAUAUGAAAAUUGAGAUGGUGCCGCUUCGAGCAAAAAUUUAAAGAGUUGAUCUUGUAAAUAUUCAUGAAUUUGAAUUAGCACACAUGGUCGUAAAUGUGCUGAAGCAUAAUAUUGGAUUGUUUCGCUACUUAAUAAUAUUAUGUGUGUGAUACUUCCGAUUUAACAAAAGGAGUUGUGGUCCAAAUCUUACCAAUAUCUUCGUCAAACUUUAAUGUAUUUACACUAACGAAAAGUUAAAAUCUAGUAAGAUACUUUUCGAUAUGCAUGAUAUUAUGAGACAUAUUACAAACUAAUGAGGGAUUGUUAGGAUAGUUGUAAUAUAAAGGGAAAGUUCUCACAUUGGUGGGAGAAACCAUCUUUUAUGUCCUUUUAAGGUCUAGCUCAUUUAGUCUAUUUAAUAAAGUAAGUCUACUUAUAAAUAUUUAAUAUAUAUCUAAAUGACUUGGACUUGGGGUUUGAGCGCGGAUCGGAUCGAAUCUUUAAUUAAAUUUAAAGAUUUAUUUUUCGUAAUUAAUUUUGAACAAAUAGUUCAUUUAAAAUUUAAAUUUAAUAUUUAAUAUUUAAAUUUUAAAUGAAACAAAAAGUUUUGUAUAUUCAAAUAAGGUGCAACAAAAGUUUUGUCUUUUUAAAAAGGAAGCAACUAAAAGUUGUGUUUGUUCAGAAACUCUUUCAUGAAAAGUCAUUUGUUCAUGAAAGAACAUGACUAUUAUGAAAAGUCAUUUGUUCAUGAAAGAACGUGACUGUUAUGCAAAUGCAUCUCUUAAGUUCUAUAAAUACGAACCAUUCCCAGAAAUAGCGUAUUCAAUUGCAUAUAUUGGAUCAUACAAAAUCUCUUACAUUACUAAUAUCAUGAAUUUCCAUGUAUUAGUAAUACACACAUCAAUACAAUAGAAUAUAUAAUGAAUAGGCUAAAAAGUGUACCAAACAAGAUAUUGUUAGGAAUUGUUUGAUAGAGUGUAUUAGAAGAAAUAAUGCAUGCAUUAGUUUGUAUAUUAAUGGGGUUGUUUUGUAAGGUGUAUAACAAUAAUGUUAAAUAAAGUAUAUUAAUAAUAUUUGUAUUAAUUAUAUUUGCAUUAAUUAUAAAGAGAUUAAAGUACAUCCUUCAAUUUUAGAGGUUAAAGCUAAAUCUUGAGGAUCCAUACAACUUUAAUCUUUGUAUUAUUAAAAAAAACACAUCUAGACUAGUUCUGUCACUUGGUCUGAACUCAUUUCUUCUAUUCCUAUGAUUGUUCAGUGAUGGAUUUUCUCCUUUUAGGAUUAGGUUUCUAUCCCGUGUUGUCUCGAAGAGACAAAACAAAAGCACUCAUAUGAAUGGUGCUAAUUCCCAUGUUCUUUCUAGUCUCGUUUGGUUUCGAGAGCCUCCCUCUCCCUGUAGGUCGAGCCUCCUUUUCAGUCGCCCUCUCCCUGUCCCUUACUCAUCUUUCAUUUUUUCGCAAAUUUUAUAUCAUAAUUAUCAAUGUCAUAUCUCUAUCUGAACUAUCACCUAUUAUAUAAAAAAAAAUUGCCACGUAGGGAAGGUUAUCUAUUUUAAACUCAUUAGUGUAGUGUGUGUGCUAAAUUGGUUGAGGAGGCAGCUAUGGUGGUGUUGGGAGUGGUUGUUUCUCCACAGGCACAGCAUAUCCUCCUUUCAAUUCCAACGAAAAUUCCUCCUCAAUAUUGUACAAGGCGUAAAGCUUUGAUAUUUACUUCUUCUCUGUUUUCCUCUUUCAUAUAUACAUCUCAUCACUCUCCUGCUACUGCUUUCCAAAUCGAAAUGCCUCAACAAGAAGAAGAUAGACUCGUUCAUCUCUUUCAGGUAAAUUAAAUACAAGAAGAAAACCCAAUAACUGACUCUCUCUGUGUGUUGUAGAUUCCGUUUCAAUUUAUUUGUCUGAUUUUGACUUGGCUUCGAAUAUACCUAAUUUUGUAACAUGGAAAAUUGAAAUAGAGUAAUUAGCUUCUUUAUUCUUUACCUAGACUAACUUCUUGUGUUACCUGCUGCUAUCUUCAAUUCAGUGGCGCAUAUACAAGAAAUCAUGUGUUUGCCUCUACUAGGAUUUGAAGUUGAGACCUAUACUUAUUGACUUAGGUAUGGCCCAAAUGCAGAAAAUAUUGGCUGUUUUAUUGUUCAAAUAUUAUUGAAGAAUAUGUGAAAAUAACCAUUUCCUUUAAUUGGAGUAGAAACCUGGAACAAUUCGAUAAAGGACCAUUUUUUAAUUUGAAGAGUCAAGAAUGUGUUAUAUCCCUAUAUCAAGUAAAUGUUGUUCCCAUCGUUCCAAUAUAUAACACUCUUUUUAGUUGAACAAUCGGAAAAUAUUUGCACUAUUCUAUUUUUAGACGACUUUCAACAAUUCAAAUUUAUUAAACUUCAGUGUAAAGAUUUCUCCAUCAAACUAACUUUUAAAUAACUACUAUGUACUUUCGUUAUAACUAAUAUAAUAUUAUACACUCCUUUCAUAUAGAGAGGAAUUAAUGAGUAUCAAUUUCCCUCCCUUCUUUAAGCUUACAAAGUUAAUCUCCAGACCAUUUGCUACUGUAUGGAAAGUGAAGACUGAAAAUUGGAUGUCUUGAAGUAAGAAGUCAUUAUAUACUAACCGAACUUUGUGACUCAGGUAUCUUCAUUGUAUAAUGUUGGAAGUGAACUCUUGAUAGUUGUGACUUGUACGCUUACUUUGCAGUCGUUGUUAAUCUAGUCAAAAUCUUCUUGUAUCUGAAAGACGUGUGUCUCGUGUUACUGAAUAGAUGGUGUAGAAAGGAAUUUGUGCAUUAUUCUGAAGACCUUGAAUUGGACAUCUAAGUGGACAGAUCACAUAUACAUUGAACAAUAAGAUCCUCCUAAGCCAUUUUGCAGUAGUAUGUUAGUCCACACAAAGCUAAUAUGGUUUAGUAUCAGUAAGAAUGCCAUAAAUCAGACCCACGAGAAAUUUAAAUGUUUCUUAAUGAGGUCAUGAAUAAAUCAUCCAAAAAUCGUCACAACAAUAAUAAGACGAAAGUAUCAUUUUUGUCUUAUCAUGUUUAUUGAUUGGUGAGUUUAUCUGUUCGAAAUGUAGUAACAGAACUGAUGAUGCAAAUGCAGGAAACUUCCCCUUCUGUUGUUUUCAUUAAGGACCUUGAGUUGGCUAAAGGCUCUAAUGACUCUACUAAGGUGCUAGCCGACGAUGAGAAUGCAAAAGUGGAAGGGACAGGUUCGGGCUUCAUUUGGGAUAAGUUUGGUCACAUUGUACGAUUGUUCGACUCUAUGGAUUACAAAUUUGCAAUGAAUAUCCGAAUUUUCCAUGUUAAUUGGAUGAACUCUCUGCUGCUCUCAAGAAAGUUAAAUGCUUGAUGUCAGACUUGAAUUAAGAUUCCAUUGGUUUUUUGUUUCCCGCCUCCAAUAUUUUCACACAGUUGAAAUUCGGUUGUCUCGUUCAAAUUUCUGACCCUGCUUCAAAUCUUGCUUCGAAAUUUUCUGUAAAUUUGUUUCAGUACUAACCUAACACAGUGUACUUAUAAUUCUAAAAUCAGACAGUUUGCUGAGCAUGGGGCAUGAUUAUUUUGGGUUUAUUGCAGGUAACCAAUUACCAUGUCAUUGCUAAAUUAGCUACUGAUAACAUCGGAUUGCAGCGUUGUAAGGUUUUUCUGCAUUCCUGGUGUUUUAUAUCCCUUUGUUUUCAGUUCUUAUUUGUAUAUUCAACAGGACUGCUCCAUUUCAGGUAAUUCUAAUUUUAAAGGUUUCCUUUUCAGGUUUCUUUAGUGAAUGCUAAAGGAGAAAGCAUAGUUAAGGAUGCGAAGAUCGUAGGUGUUGAUCCAGCAAAUGAUCUGGCCGUUCUCAAGGUGUUAAAUCGAUAUAUUACUUAAUAAUGUUGUCAAUUUCCAUUUUUUUUACUAAUUUAUUUUCUAUACUGGUAGCUUUAGACUGGUAAUUAUAACUAUCCAAAUUUCUCCUUAUAGAUUGGUUAGUUGAAGUACACUAUGACAAACAGAACAUAACCUAACUCCUUCCAUUCUAUUUUAUAUGACAAUAUUUGAAUGGCCACAUUGCCACGGACGUUGAGAUAUUAAUUUUGGUUUAUAUAUUAUACUAGCUAUUGUGGAACAAAAUAUUAAAGUAAUGAUUAAAAGGUUUGAUGGAGUCUUGGAGAAAACAUCAUAUCAAAGUGUUAAAUUUGAACAAUUAAACGAAUUUGAGCCAUUGAAUUGUGAAAGUUGUGUGGAAAUGGAUUGGUAUAAAAUGUUUGAAAUGUUUAAAAAUGGGAAGAUUGUCAUAUAACUUGGAAAGAUGGUACUUCUACCUUAGGAAUAGAGACACAAAGAGAACUGCGAGCAAAUAGCACACCUUUCAAGAGUAUCAAUACCGUCACAUGAAUCGUAAAUGCAUGAAUGUGAUGUACAGUCGCCAUCAACCUAUUAUGGUGAAAUUAUUGGGGAUCAAUUUCAUACAAAUUUUGAGCAUGUACCUAAAUAAGUAAGGCACUAUUCGCCUGUCUCAGAAAAUUAUAUACAAGGUCUUCUAGUUUCAGUCUAUAUAUGAGGAUUCGUUAUGAGUUAGCAAGUUUUACAUCGGCUGCCAGCAUGUUGCAACCCCUCCUCCGUUAUCUGGGUUUAGGACUGGCAAUAUGAGCAAGCUCACACAGACAAAGUUAGUAUGUUUAUUUUGAACGUAUUGCUUUCCAAGUAGUAUUUUGACCUUUAUAUGUAAGUGAGUAUAUAAAGAACAUUUAAUAUUAUUAUUUACUUAUAUAUUUAACUUAUUUUUCACUUUUAUUUCCUUUUUUGGUAUGAUGAUGACAUGAGUUAGAUUUUAAAUGAGGAGAUAUGACUAGUGAGGAUUCAUAUAGCCAACCCCGAUUUGUUUUGACAGAGGGGUUGUUUGUUGUUGUCAUACCGUUCCGACACCCCCUCAUACUCCAAAAUCUCAAUUGGUAUCUGUCAUUGCUUCUCUCCUUUUAACAAAAAAGCAAUUUAAUAGAGACAAGUGAAAACACUUAGAUUAGAUCUAAUGAAAAUGAAAUGUUAAACGAGAAUGGGUAUUAAACAUGAAGAAAAAAAUUAUGUGCAAAAUAAAGUUGUCUAACAACAUUCGAUAUCUAUAAAGUUGGUCAGUUAAAGAGUCCCCUGGGUUUGAUUGUCUCCUAUGCUACUGCAGGUUGAUAUUGAAGGUGUUGAAGUAAAACCAGUCUCUGUUGGUACCUCUCGCGGCCUACGUGUAGGUCAAAGUUGUUUUGCCAUUGGAAAUCCGUAUGGAUUUGAAAACACUCUCACAACUGGGGUAAUACAUUUCUACAGUUUAUUUAUAAGUUAAGAAAUAUACCCGUGUGGAGACUCAUUUUAUGGUUUCAUUUCCAGGGAAGAGCGUUUCUAGCAUUUAUUUUUCAUGCAUUUCUGUUAAACUUACUCAGUAUAUAACUUGUAAUCUUGAUUUCCUUUGAGGAUGCUAAAUGUUUCCAUUUCUAUUGAACGGCAGCUCUCUCCUUUUACUGUAUAUAGCUUCUCAUUUGAUAUAAACAAAGAAAAUAUUCUAUUCAGCUCAUACUCUCAAUAUCCUAAAAAUGCUUUAAACUAUCGACUCUCCAUAAUUCAGUCAUACCUACAAAGGGAACCAAAAUCAUGAAACUGCUGAAGUUUAUAAAUUAAUUUAAUUUGCUCAUGUUUCUCCAUGCCAUAGAGAAAGGAAAAAAACAAUUAUUCAUAGGGAAUAAAGAUAGUUAAUAAGUUACUAUUGUUUAUUUGAUUACCUCAAAUGUUACAGGUAGUUAGUGGAUUAGGCAGGGAAAUACCUGCACCAAAUGGAGCUGCCAUUAAAGGAGCUAUUCAAACAGAUGCUGCAAUUAAUGCAGGUAAACAUUAUUCUUUAGUUUUCCUGUAUAAGAUAUGAUCACUUGUGAGAAAAUUAUGGUGAAUAGCACAUGUAGGGGUGUCAAAAGGGUUGGGUUAAUAAAUUGGUGGCCAAAAGUUGCUUGGGCAUAACCCAAACGGCUCAAUUCUUACUAAGUUUUCGUUUCAUUGCUUGUUCUUUUAUAAUUUUUUAGUACAUAAUAAAACUUAUCUUUUUUAUAAAAAAAAUUAUGGCUCUAUAGAACAUAUCAAUUAUAAAGAUUGUGUUUUGAAAAUAUUUUGACAAGAUUUCUCAGGGUCAAUUUAGGCUACAGAUGAAGCAGAACUUCUUGAUGGGGUGAAAUGAGUUGAGUUAAUAAAUGAUUAGCCCUAACUUGGAUGGGUUGAGCGGGUCAUGUUUUCAAGGGUUAACUUUUCACCCUAAGCACAACAGUCACCUCUUCAUGAUGUACUGUUUGAGUAGGAUGUACCACAUUGUUUAGAGAGCAGAGCCAGUUAAAUGGUUGUUUAUCUGGUUUAAAUGAGGAUGACGACAAGGUUGAAUGCCAGUUUGAUUUAGGGGGAUGAAGUUCAAUUUCUAACUGCAGAAAUUGUCAAAGUAGAAUACUUUUACCUGAUUAGAACUCAUAAUUCAUCAAGUUAUGCAUGCCAAGAUUUAGUUUGACUUAUAGUUACUUAUGCAGGGAAUUCAGGUGGUCCGUUGAUUGACUCAUCUGGUCAUGUAAUUGGUGUAAAUACAGCAACAUUCACCCGCAGAGGUAAGAAUGAUUGCUUGAUAUUCUUCUUUUUUCUCUUUCUUAUUGGUGAUCCCUCGUUUAAGAUUUUCCCUCUCAAAUACGUUUUUACAUGAAUGCUGGCAGGUCUGCAUCUGCUGGUUCAUCGCUUACUGACAUUAUUAAAUGCCUGUUGCUUCUUAUCUUUACACAGAACAUGUUGAUUCUUCUGCUCUAGGUUGACCAGGAUAGAAGUAAAAGCAUUGGUGUUCAUCAUAUUCUCAUUUUUCAAAUUUUAACUGUUUAAAUUCUGCAUCACAUGGAAUCAUCAAGCAUCUUACCCGUAUCCUAAGCCAACGUAUUAGGUAACUGUUGAAUUUUUGUGGCCUGGUAGGAUCUAGUUCUGUCCUCCCCUUCGGGAAAAUGUAUUUGCUUUUCCCUCUACCCUAAUACUGCAGAACAUAUGCACAAUCUUUUAUCCAUUGCCAUUUAUAUACUUUUUUAUGUCAAACUUCGUAUACAAUUAACAUAACUUCUUAUUAUUUGGCAUUAACGUUUCGGCUAUCUAAAAGCAUGUUACGGAUUGUGCUUUGCAUAACAAGGUGUAAAAGAUGUGCAUUUUAUCAUUAAUCCCUCAGAAGGAUCAGAGGUUAUUCCUUUCUAAGAGUUUGUCAAGAAUAGAGCUGAAUUAGCAUAGAUCAGUAGAAACUUAAAAGCUUACUAAUCCUAGUGACUGCUCAGGAAUUUCGCUAAUCUGGCUGCAUCCAUAGUUACAUGAUCAAAGUUAUAGUCGUAGUUUGGUAAAAUUUAAAUUUAUUUAAUUAGAAAUGUGGUAUAUCAAGCUUGGUUUCUAGGUUAGAAAAUUGGAUUGGCUUAGAUUAUAAUCCAAGCCUAAUCACAAGGUUAAGAGCCUAUGCCUAUUACAAAAGCUGUAGUUCACCAUCCCUAAUGGCCUAUGAUGAAGUAUGUAGAAGCCUACUUAGCACACAAUUCUAGAAUGAUUAACAUAUUUACUAUUGAAUCUUAAUUAGCCUACAGGUUACAUCAUUUUGUGAUUUUACUAAAGGACCUUUAGCCUUCGUUGCUCAAACUCUCCAAAAAUGUUGUCACACCCGUAUUCCUCCAAUAAUCCACUACUUUUGGAGGAUUUAACACGCACCCGGCAGCAUUCUUGAAGAAUCCGAGCAACAUAGCCUUAAGUCGCGUCCUGCAAAAUCGUGUGAUCUGAAAGAAAUUAAAGCUCACACUUAUUUGAUGCUGUAGAGUUGGACAGGUGAAUCUGUAAUAGUCAUUUCAGUUACUUGAUCUUUAAUGAGCAUCUACUUUUCUUGCUGUUCACAGGAGUUUAAUACUCUCUGGUGACCUAGUCUUCAUAAAUAUUUUAUAUAUACAGAAACUUAGUGAUCAGAAAAGGAUGAAAUCUGAGGAAAUUUCUAAUUGCUUUUGAGAUUUCAUUCAUGUUGCAGGCUCGGGUAUGUCCUCGGGGGUUAACUUUGCCAUACCGAUUGACACAGUUGUACGGACCAUACCUUACCUGAUCGUUUAUGGAACAAGUUACAAAGACAGAUAUUGAAUAUCUGUAAUCAGAAAGUUACUUGAAGGAAGGUCAGGCCAAAGCAUAAGGAAGGAAGGUCACUCAUAAGCGAAUUGAGCUAUAGCUCUUAGCGCUUGUGAUACAUAUUUCAUCAUGUAGAUAAUUCUUGUCUAUAAAUAUUCCAUGAUCCAACAUUAACAAUUUUUCAUCUCUUUGAGUGGUACCUUUGAUCCUUAAUGCAGCUUUAGUUUGUUCAUUGGAUGGUAUUAACUUGACAAAAAAGGCUUCAUUUUAGAGCUGGAAAAAGGCCAUGUUAUUAACUGCUACUCUUGUAGCUUUCACAAUUCAUUUUUCUUAUGUGGAAAAGAAAAACAUGAACCAAACACUGUAUUCAAUAUUAUGUUUUAUGUGAAGAGAAAACCAACUGAACAUUGUGUAACUUAUGCUAAAUUCUAUGGGAAGAUUAUUUUCCUCCAUUUAACCAAACAAUGUAUAAAGUCAUGCUAGUUCUAAUACAUGGGUAACUCCUCUCUAACCACCAACAAAACGACCCCUUAUUUACCAAAAGAACCAAAAAAAAAAAAAAACUCUUAUCAAAGGUCAAAAUUAACUGGACACAGAUCAGUGAAGUAAUAAAUUGUCAUAUGCAUCAUUGACACUCCUGGCCGACUGGUCUACCAACUGUUUCACUUACACUGGUCAUCAAAACAUAUUUUUUCUUAUAACUGAGAUAUCCCCGAGGACUAAUGGUGCAUGCUUUGAAACUCGGUGGAUAAUGGACUUGUCCUACGAUCCUUCUCCACUUACACAUCAACAGUUCCCCCUAACAAGAUUCAAACUUGUGAAGUGUACUUGAUCCACAUCACGUGUUGCUUUCUUACUGCUAGAAAGCCCCGGGGCCUAGUCGUCAAAAUUGGAACUUUAUAAUGGAUCAGGGGCAGGGGUAUCAUGGUAGGAGGAAACCAUCCAUAAGGAACAUUAGAGAGAGGAAUGCAGCAGAAAAUGACAAGUUUAUCGAUGACAGACUCAUCAGCUUCUUCCUAGAAGAGAAAAACAUAUGAUAAUAUAACACCAGUAAAGUUCACACUUGAAAAUGAAAUAAUCAAUGGUCACGAUGAAUCAAACAGGGAAGAUGUUCAUCCAAUUGGAUCAAGUUUAUCGCCACGAAUAAUUAAGACUUUUGCUCCCCAAGCGACAUUAGGGACAACUGUUCGCCAAUAGAACAAUCCACAUGACAUGUUUUCCGGCAUAAGGAAGGGAUUAAAAUGAGACCAAGAACUCGCUGUUCCAUUGGAGAAGGGGCAGAUCUUCUAGUGCUACGGUACUCGACUGCAUCUUGAAGAAUUAUGUUUCCUUGCUUAUCAAUACAAUAAAAUGUACCUAGAAAGAAUCUUCCAUCACUUAUACCAACCAGCAUUCGUCGAUAUAGUAGCUUCUUGACAUGAGAGACAUAUUUUGAAUUGUUUGUCUCUAACUGAUUUGAGCUUCCAACUUCAGAUAGGUAUGUCUCUAGUUCCUUGGUGCUCAUUUUAGUCCAGUUUAGAUCAAUGAAGGAAAUUUGCCGUACAAUUGUGUAAUUGUAGCUACAGCAUAUGCUAAGACAAACAAUUAAACCAUCAACUCCUCUUCCCUGCAGAAAGUUAAGACAGGGAAUUAAUCAGGUAAAUUUUGAUAACCGUGGUGUCCAGACUGCUCUUGGGCGAUAUAUUCACCCCUUUGAUUCGUGAAAAUACAUGAAGAUACAUUAAAGGGAAAGCACUCAAAGCAAACUCUCAAACAGAAGAUCUUUUGCUAAUUUCUCCUCCCCUCUCCUCUCCCCACAGUGAAAUAGAACAAGUGAUAGCAGUCGAGAAAUGAACCCAGUAUAUAUAAAAAAAAAUCAAGAAAAUUGUGAUAUCCUGGAAGUGGGUGUGAACAAGAAAAAGAAGAAUCUUCUUAGUCUUUGCACUUAUGCUUGAACAAGGAUAUUUAUAAGGCAUAAUACAUAAAUUUGCCCUUUAACUUGGCCUCAUUUCAUAUUUAUGCCCUCCAACUUUAGGUGUAUACAAAUAAUUAAUUAAACUUGUAUAAAGUUGAACAAGUAGACAUAAGAGGCAUAUGUGGCAUAAACCACGUAUGACACAAAUUGUCAUGUAGGAUGACAUGUAGGACACGUAGGUAAUUCUUGAAUUAAAUUUCAGCAAGUUUAUGUGUUCUAGCAUAUUAUAUGUGUUGUAGCAUAAACGAUUUGGUUAUCUAUUAUUCAUGUAAGCAGUAAGAUCCUGAUAUUCUUCCGUUGUGCAUAUAGCUUUUCAACAAUUGGUAACAGAGUCACACUUACAUCUAAAUGUAUAAGCUAAAACUCUACACACUAAAUCAUCUACUAUAUAACUAAACAGACACCAUAAACGAAUAUAUGAUCUAUUAAAAUUGAGCAAAUAUUUAUUCUAUAAUAAAUAUUAUUUCUUAACAUAUGGUUAAUAGUAUAUAUCCCAACAUAAGUAUCUAUUGUGCACACUCAAAAUUGGACGGCAUAAAUGUGAGCUAAGACCAAGUUAAAGGGCAUACUUAUGUAUUAUGUCUAUUUAUAAUAAAGGAACACCUAUCGCAGAAUAAGAUACUCAGCUCCACAGCAAAUAGAGAUUAGCACACUUUCGGGCAGAACAUAGAAUAGUAGAAGAUCCAACAUGCAGAAUACAGCGACCAUUAUAAAGUCACAAUUUAGAAACGAUAUAAUACUCAUUUUCUAAGUGUCUUUCAGAAACAGCCUCUCUACCUCCACGAGUUAUAGGCACAAGUUCUGUGGACACUCUAGCCUCCACACAGACAACCACUUACGGGACUACAAUGGGUUUGUUUUUGUUGUAUAAUAUACUCAUUCCACUAAAAUGCAAAUAAAGAUGAGAAAUGUGGUCAAUAUCACAAAGAAUAAAGAAAUUCACAAAUUGAGAUUUGUCUAUUAAAAGGAUCGAAUUGCAUAAACCGUCAAGAUACUCAAUUUGGGGGUUAAUCUACCAGAUAAAUCAUAUAAGCUAAACUCAUCUCCUUGAAAAAAACAUCAUUAAUGGCUAUUAUGACAAUCCCAACAAUAAAUUCUUAAAUAAACACAUUCAAGUUGAAGGAUUGAAAACUAUAUUUAAGGUUGAAUCUCAAAGCCCUACCCCCAAUAUCUCAAUAAAAUUAGUAGUAGAAAGUAAUUAGCAAGAGAAGAAGAAUUUCAGGGCUACCUUUGCAUAAAAGUUUAAUUUUGCAAAAUUCUCGAAGAAAUGAAGCUCCAAAAUAUGUGCAGAACCCGUUAUUACAAUCUCACUUUUCUUUGCUUCAGCUUAUGGCCCUCUCUCAUAUUUGUAUAGGCAUCUGUAUCUAUAUGGGAGGAAAUGACCAAAAAUACCCCUAAUAUAUUGGAAAAGGUUUUAAGAUACCCUUGGUUUAUUUUUUGAUUUAAAAAUACUCUUUCUUUCACCUGUCUAAAAACCCCCUCAAUCAAAAUUGAAUUGAAUUUUUUUACUAAUUAAAUAAAAAAAAAAUUAUUCAAAUUCUUAAUAUUAGCUCAUCCCAAAAUAUUUAAGUCUAAUUAUAUUUAAAAUAAAAAAAUAAAUUUAUUAUGUUGUGAAAAAUUAUAGUGAUGAGGAAUAAAGGAAAAAAGACAAAAUUUAACUAAUUAUAUACGUAGUUAAUAUUUAAGAUUUUAAAUAUGAUCAAUGACAGUAAAUAAGAAACAAAAAAAAGAAAUUUUGUUCUCAAGAUUUCGUGAUAGGUGUUCUUAUCAAGAUCAUUGAUUGUAAAUAGGGGGAAAAGAGUUUUUUUUUAUAUUAUUGUUAUUGUUAUUUUGGGUCAGUGACCACGAUAAAUAAGAGUCCGUUUGGAUUGACUUAAAAAAAAUAACUUUCUAAAGUGCUGAAAGUUAUUUUAAAAAUAAGAAGUUAUGUGUUUGGAUAAAAAAGUUGCAGUUGAAAAAAAAAUUGUUGAUGUGUUUGGCAAAUAAGUGUUGUUAAUCUAAGGUUUUUAUUUCUAAGAAAAAUUAAAAUAAAAUUAAUUUAUAUUUUAAUUCAUUUCAAUAACUUAGUAUUUAAGUUAAUUUAAAAUGUGCAACUUAUUUAAAAUUUCAAAAAUAUAUAAUUUGAAUAGUGUUAUAUUCUAGUGUUUUGAUGAUCCUCACAAAUGCAGGGACCUAGUCCCUGGCAGAGUGCUCUCGUCCAGAUACAAAUGGAGUACAGCUAUAAAGCUGUCAUGUCAGGUGGUAGGUGAAAAGUGCAGUGUCCUACCCCAAUAGGAAGAGCGGACGAGAUUGUAUGCUUCAGUGUCUCACAAAUGCAGGGACCUGGUCUCAGGCAGAGUUCUCUCGUCCAGAUCUAUAAUGGGGUACAGCUGUAAAGUUGUCGGAGGUUGGUGAGGCGUCAGCGUACUACACCAAUCAAAAUGGACGAGGGUGUUUAUCCAAUGGGUAAUAACUCUUUAUGGUUGAUAUUUUCUACAUGACAAACACCAUAUUAAAUUCAUUCAUCCUAAGAAGGAAGUCAGUCAGCAAGCCUUUUCAAAAACCCACAAAGAAGUUUGCAAGGGACUUGGACCCUGUAAGACAGCGAUAUGAAAAGGUGACAAGACAGCCGUCAGAAAAGCUGCCACCUCUGAUGUGGUAGGUGAGAAACUUUUCUGAACAGCAUGCUUUCAGCCAAUAGGAGUGUUUCAACGAGCUUUUGUUGAUUUAUAUCAUCUCUUUCCAAAAUACACAAACUCAAGAUUUGGCAAACAAAAACUUGAAUUUUCUUUGAAAAUUCACAAGCUUGAAAAGAGAAGGUCAUCUUCAAAGAAGAACAUUGUUCAUAACAACAAGGGACCAGAUGGAGUGCUAAAGCAUCUUGUUGUAUUUAGAGUUUUGUGUCUUAUGUGCUUACAUUGUAAAUAUGUUCCUAUUCUAUAAAUGAUUCAGAUAUUUUAUUUCGUUUUCUAAAAAGUCUAAGUCGAUUAGAGUUAACUGAUUUAAUGCGCAGUGUUGUAUCUGCUUAGUCAAAUUCUAAAUCAUCUAGAGUUAGGUGGUUUAGUGGGCGGUGUGGUAUCCGCUUAGCAAAGUCUAAGUUAUCUAGGGGUGAUAGCUUAGUGGGCAGUGUGGCAUUUGCUUAGGCUCGGUUAAGUAAUCGUUAUAUUACUUAGUGUAGAGAUUAGGAGGUUAAUCUCUAUGUGUGGUUGUAAACUGAUUUUUACUUUUGCUUUGAAAAGAUUAGUAGAAGCAAUUUGAAAAGUCCUGUUGAGACAAGUCGUGGUUUUACUCCCUUAAGCAAGGAGAUUUUCACGUAAAAUUGCUUGUUCAAUCUUUACUUUCAGCACUUAUUUUAAUGUUUGUUAUUGUAACUGUGCUGAGGACCUAGUCCCAUCGAAACAAGUGGACGCAUAUUUUUAGUUAUUGUUCUUGCUGAGUCAAAGAACCUGGUCCUUGACUGAUAAGUGGACGCAUACAUUCCAACAAAUAGAUCACAUGAAAGAAUUUGGGAAUUGUUUAAAAGAAUUAAGGGUAAAAAAGUAAUAUACUUGUUAAAGUAGAAUGACUUUUAAGUUUUAAAAAAAAAUAGUGGUCACCCUACUUUUAACUUAUUUUAAGUUACUUUUGACUUAUUUUAAUUUGUUUUUAUAAUUGUCAUAUACUCUCACAAGUCAAAAACCAACUUAAAAGCCCAUUCAAAUGGCACUAAGACAUAAGAAGGGAGUUUUUUUUUUUUUUUGGGGGGGGGGGGGGGUGGCGGGGGGAUGGGAGAUUUCAAGAAAUGGAAACUAUAAUUAGAUACACAAAUAAGGUCAGGCUCAGCCCCCCUUUAUAUCUUUUUGCUUAAUACAAAACCGCCCGAAACUAUAAUUAGAUACACAAAUAAGGUCAGGCUCAGCCCUCCUCUAUAUCUUUUUGCUUAAUACAAAACCGCCCGAAACUAUAAUUAGAUACACAAAUAAGGUCAGGCUCAGCCCUCCUCUAUAUCUUUUUGCUUAAUACAAAACCGCCCAGAGAUAAGAUUGCGUAAAAAAAAGUUAACUUUUUAUUUUAAAUAUAAUUAGACUUAAUUAUUUUUAAUAUUUUGAGAUGAGCUAAUAUUAAGAAUUUGAAUAAAUAAAAAAAUAUUUUUCAAAACAAAUAAAAGCAUGAACUAAUUAGUAAAAGAAUUCAAUUCAAUUUUGGUUUGAGAGAAUUUUUAGACCAAAGGGUGGAAAGAAGGGUAUCUAUGAACCAAAAACAAAGAUGAAAUUUAUUUUUAGACCAAAAGAUGGAUGGGAGAUAUUUUUGAACCUUCUCCAAUAUGUUAAGGGUAUUCUUGGACAUUUUCCCUCAUUUAUAUAUAUAUGAAAAGAAAAAAAACUACUUAAUUACACUAACAUGUCUAUUAAAGGCUCAUAAGUACCCUUAAUCUAUGGAAAAAGGCUCAUAAAUAGCCUUCUUCCAUCUUUAGGUCCAAAAAAAAUUCUUAAGAUUUGUUUUUGAGUCCAAACUAGUGAUAUUUUUGUUGUUUUAUUUAUGGAUUGUAGUACAACUUUUAUUCCUACCGAUAGGGGUGUGUUUAGGGUUUAGAUAAAAACCUAUUCAAAUUGAAAAAUAGAACCAAAUCAACUAUAUUUGGAUAUUCUUUAAUUUGGUUUUACAUCUUUAAAAAUCAAUAAUAUUUGAUUUGAUUUGACUUGGUUUUUCAUUUUUUUUUAAAAUUGAUAAUAUUUGGUUUGACUUUGAUUUAAUCCAAAAAAAUCAAAGAAAAAACCUAAUCGAACCAACAAAUAUAUACAUAUAUUUUAUAACUAUACAUACAUAAUAUAUUAUUUUUUAUGUAUAAUUUUAAACAUCUUAUAUAUGUUUUCAUUAAAAUUGAUUUAUAAUUUAGUAUCAAAAGAAUAUGAAAAACCGACCGAACCUAACUGAUUCAUGUCAAUUUUUUAAUAAAAUUGUGGACUUUUAUUUAAAAGUAUAAUUAUCCCGAACAAUUGGAAUGAUUUUUUUAAUUCAUGAAAAGAACUAAAAAAUUCCUGAACUGAACCGAAUAACCUUAUGUGUAUGUAAAUAUAUUUUAUAUUAACAAUAUGUUAUAUUUUAUAAUAUUUUUAAAAUAUAAAUAUAACCUAGAUCCUAGCCUCAAGUGACCGGACAACUUUGGGUCUUUGCUCUUUAAUUAGUCUUUUGAUUAAUUAGGUUUAAAAUUAAAAGAUAAAUACUCUAUCAAACAAUACAUCAAAAUCUAUGCAAGCACUCCUAUUAAAUGUUUAAGAUCAAACAAUAUGACAAGAAAAUUUUACAUUCUUGCCUUCUUGGUGAAGAAUUGAAGUGCUUCUUCAAGAACAUAUUUGUGAAUGAAAUAUUUUAAUGAUAGUAUAUUUUGAGGUGAUAUUUUAAAAGUUAAAACAAAAAACAAAAAUUAAUUGAACCCUACCGAUACCAAAGAGUAACCGAUAUGAUUAGAAUGGUUGUAAAAAAUCUAAUUUUGGUUAUACAUUAUAAAAUACCCGAAAUUUGGAAUGAUGUAAGUUGUUAAAAAUAACCGACCAAACCAUUCCAUUGACACCCCUAACGAGAGAAUUUAUGAGGCCAAAGUGGUGGAUUUUGGAGUUUUAUUCACAGCAAAUUGAGUGAACCAAAGUUCUGUAAUGUUAGGCAUUCUAUCUUUCUUGUUGACUGAAUAAUUAACCUUCUUUUUGAAUGAAUCAUUUCUUUUAUUUUCGUGUAUGAUUAACAAACAAAUAACUUAACUAAAAUCUAGGGGUGUCAAAAGAUUAUGAAAAAUCAACUGCACCUAAUCGAAUCGAAUCGAUUUAUGCUAUUUUUUCAAUAAAAUUGUGGACUUUUAUAUAAGUGUGUAACCGUCCCAAACAAUUGAGAUGAUUUUUUUAAUUAUGAAAAAAAACCAAAAAAUUCUAGAACCGAACCGAAUAACCUUACAUGUAUGUAAAUAUAUUUUAUAUAUUAACAAUAUGUUAAAUUUGAUAUAUAAAUAUAUUUUAUAGCAUUUUCAAAUAUAAAUAUAACGUAGGUCCUAAACCUCUGGUGACUAGACGACUUUGGGACUUUUUUCUUUAAUUAGUCUUUACUUAAUUAGGUUUAAAUUAUAAGACAACAAAACUUAUCCAAACACUCUUAUUAAAUAUUUAAUAUCAAACAAUACGGCAACAAGAUUUUACAUUCUUUUCUUUUUGGUGAACAAUUAAAGGGUUUAUUCAAGAACAUAUUUAUGGGGAAAAAUAUAUUAAUAGUUGUAUAUUUUGAGGUGAUAUUUUAAAAGUAAAAUAAAUCAAAAAUUAACCGAACUAUACUGGAUAUGAUUAGGAUAAUUUUAAAAAGUAUUUUUGGUUAUAUAUUAUAAAAUUCCCAAAAAAUUGAGAUAGUAUAAUUUUUUUUAAAAUAGCUGACCAAACCGUAUGACACCCCUACUAAAAUCGACAACAACCAGAUAAAUGUAGACCAUAUUUGAUUUGAUAGAGUUAAUAAUUUUUAAAACGAUUAAAUUGAUUCAAUUUUGAUUAAUAACUGACCCGUGAGUUGUAGUUUUCUCACCAAAAAUAGCAAAACCAAUAAACAUGCAAAUUGAUUUUCCUUUUAUACCAUCUUAAUUUAAGAGACCUUCUCUAUACGUCUUCUUCCUUAUAUUCCUCUUCUGAUAACUUUUCAUGAAGUCAUCUCCUACUUGCAACAUUGCAUAUUGUUCUUUUUUUUAAAAAAAAAUUAAAUUUUGGUAAUAGUGUAAAAAUAUAGGCAUGAUGACAUCAAUUUUUUCCAAGUUCAUUAUGAGACCUUACUGUUGAAAAACAGUGAGUAUUCUCAUUUCUCUAUUGAGUUGUGAAUCGUCAAACACCUCAGCAAUAAAAUUAUAAGGAUUGAAGUUUAACAACGAUGCCAAUAUUUCUUCCAUACACCUUUUAUUUUUUCCGACACGCAUAAAAACAAGUUACAACCUAGAACUGAAAAUAAUGCAGCACAUGCUGCUAGACUGCAGUUACUUCGUUAUCGAGAUGUGCCAUAACGAAAACCAACUACAAGUAAACAUGUGGGCCUUGUUUACCGCAAAUAAAUGAACAUAAAAAGAGUAGUUUUAUAUUAAAGCAAGGAAGAAUAGAGUAAGCACUGGUCACUAAAGCAGAAAAAUAUGGCCAUGCAUCAAUAUAGAGCAGAUUCAAACUGCAUAACAUUACACACCAACAAAAGAAACAAGUAAAAGAUAGAAAGAGACCACUUCCAUGUCAUCAUCUACCUAUCCGUUCUUUGAUUACAAAGAUCACUUGUUACUUUGUAUAAAAAAACAUCAAUCAAAUAUGUACAAUCACUAAUUUUAUCAACAUAAUGCCUCAGUCCACAACGCUCCCUAAAGUCACAUACUUCAUGGGCUAAAUAGUCCACAGGACAUAAGGCAGACUCCUUCUAGAAUGAGAGGACAUGGGGCAGACUCCUAGAACAAGAUCAAAACUACUUCAGGGGUCAGGACAAACUUCUUCCUAAGAAUAGAGAUCUCUACCCAAUUCCUUAAAAGGAUUAUCUCGCUAGAAGGUUCAUUAUGACCAUCAGCAGACUGCAAACUACGAUUUGAAGCCAGAGCUCUUCCCUACUAAGACACUUCUUCUAAUUGCUAACCCUAGAGACCAAAAGGUCAACAAGAACCAAAACCAACCAACCUUCAAUAGAAGAUUAGAAUUGAUCCCUAGCAGUGAAAUGGGCAGGACAUCUCCCUGGAAGCCUCGACAUCAAUAUCACCAUACUGUUUACUAGAGUUGAAAACAAGAGCUCUCCUCUUUUUCUAUGGUGAACAUACCUUCAGUCCGACAAAGAUGACCAAAAAUUAUGGAGUUGAACUGAGUAUCCUGCAAAACUCCAUAACAGAAAAAGUUCGUUCCAGGUACUCGAUCUAUCAAAAUAGAGAAUUUUAGAAAGGACUAUUCUUAUCAUAAAACAGAAGCACUAAUUAUGACCAAAUCAACAUAUUAAAGAGAUUAGAAAGGGACUCAGAGCAAAAGGGAAGACGGAGAAUGUAGAAGCCAUUCAAUCUGACAUUAAGGAGUAGAAUGCAGGUGGUGAGAGUACAUUGGUAUGAUACAACAAAGUAGAUAUUUAAAAUUGUGUGAACUGCCAUGGUGUUAAACUUAGGAGUCAUCGAUGAAACAUUGGAAAUGACGGAGUAUACUGAUGAACAUCAAGGAUGACAGAACCAGUUUGGACUGGUCUGUUAGAUCUAUAACAUAGUUUAUAGUACUUGUGUCUGGCAGUUCUUUAACAACGUUUAUACUUAUACCAAGAACAUUGAUGGAAACAUAAGGAGCAGAAUAAGGAUCUACAAAUGAUAUUUAUAGAUAUUUAUUGACCUAGAGAAACAUAGAAUAGAAAAGAGAAGUCCAUAAAUGUACCAGAAAUGAUUUAAUAGUAUUCUGAACAGGGAGAGACAAUAAGUUGACUAGAAAAUAUUAGAAAUGAUCACAGCAUACAAAGGUGCGUAAAGAAACAACAUAUGUAUUAAUAUUAAAGGACACCUAAGAUAAUUUGUCCAUAUCCCUAGGGAUGGCAAUGAGGCAGGGCGGGUUUAAGGCUAUGAGGGGAGGAAUGUGGGGCAGGUUGAAGUGAUUUUAAAAAAAACUGAUGCGGGGGGGGGGGGGGGGGGGGGGG